AUUGGAAUGAUGAAGGAUGCUUGACAAUUUUGAAGCGAUGUAAAGAGGCCAUUUCAAGCCAAGACAAGGUAGGAAGAAAGUUGAUCAUAAUUGACAUGGUUGUGAGGGAGAAUGAGCAAGUGAAUGAUGAAGCCUCAAGCUUAACUAAAACACAACUCUUUUUCGACAUGUUGAUGUUGGUAUUGGUGGCUGGAAAAGAGAGGCGGGAAGAAGAAUGGGCUAAACUAUUUUUAGCAGCUGGUUUUAGUUCUUUCAAAAUUACUCCUAUUGUGGGUUUGACAUCUCUCAUUGAGGUUUACCCCUGAGAGCAUUUGGUUAUUGCAUUACUAGUAUAAUAAUGUCGAGAAAUACAUAGUUGAAGUGGUAAAAUUGUUCUUUGUUGACAUCAUUUACUAGAGUUGUUUGCUGGGAUUGUAACUGUAUUGCCUAUUCCUAUUGUGUUGUCAUGGUCCUACUCUUAUAGACCUUUCCUUUUUGUUAUUACUCUUAAGGUUUGUACUUGUUGUUUUGUCCGUAAUUUGUUUUACUUCAGUCUAUGCACAUAUAAUUCUAAUUUUAAUAGUUUAGUGGUCUUGUUGUUGUUGAUUGUUGAUCAGAGCAGCGCAACGGAAGCAUGAUAUUAGAUUUUUAUUAAAUAUUCCAUGAUUAAUUGUGUGGUGUGAUUGGUCGGUUACUGUGUUUUGUGGUUUUAAAUGGAUAGUCAUUUUGGUGACUAAUGUAACGUUUGAAAUUUAGGUCGGACCGUUCCGGUCAAGUUUGAAGUGCCACAUCAGAACCCUAUUUUGAGAGGUUACAAAUAUGUUUGUCAAAGCAGCUAUGAAAGAAAUGUAUCUCAGUUGCCAUUGUAAAAUGUAAAUCAAAAGAUGUACUUGUCAUUGUCACUUUUCAAGACAUUUGUUGCAAACAAAAAAAUUAUAGGAUUAAAUUUUAAAUUUUAAAAGAUUACAUGAACCUUUUUCUCAUUUAAAUCAAAAGUAAAUAAUAUAAUCAUUAAUCCAUACUUUCAUUUUUUGCUUUUGUUUCUUAAUCAUCAAAAACCAUGAUUGUUUAAAUCAGAUUAGAUGACUGAUUAGACUAAAAAUCAACUAGUACAUCGAUCCAAAAAUCGAUUAUUAGACCACCAACUAUGAACUAAAUAAAUUGAUAAAAGAAAAUCGAUCCAACCGAUUUUUAUGGUUUUGAGACCAAAUUUCAUCUAUCCCAAAUCGAGCAAAAAGAAAACCAACUACCCCUACCCCUAAAAAAUUAACACCCAGCCUCAAAAUCAAUAUAAAAUUUUUUAAAAAGAACCCCUAAUCUAGUUAUUGUAUUACUAAAACCUAUUAUAAGCACGGUGUGAAAUAAAUAAACUGGACAGCUAGAAGCUUUCUACAUAUUUUUUAGAGUGGUUUAAAAGAAAUAAGAAAAAUAAAAAGAAGAUGAUGAGAGAAAACACAAUAUUCUUUAUAGUUUUAGAUUUUGAAAGAUUUUAAAAAAUAAUUAAGUAAUAAAGCUCUUGAUUUCAUCAUUUGUAAAAAAAGUCAGUAAAUUUUGGAAUGACAAAAAGGGUAAAGUAUAUUAUUGACAAAACGUAUUUAUUAUAUAUAUUUAUAUAUUUUUUAUUUUUUAGCGAUAAAUCUUAAAACUAUACGUGAACUAUGGUUUAAUGUGCUAAUUGAUCUUUUCUGUUAAAAAUUCCAUCCAUUUAUACAGUUAAAAAUUGUUGGUUGACAGAAUAAUGGAAUAGUGACAUAUGAUGUGCCAUGUGUACCUUAUGUUGAUGUACGUCGACUAAUUUUUAACUAUAGAAAUAGAUUAAAUUUUUAAUAGAAGGGCUAGUUUGCUAUUUGAUCUAACAUACAAAGACCAAUUUUUCCUUUUUUUUUUAAGUAGAGAAGAUAACAUGCAAUCUAAAUCCUAAUACAAUAACUUUCAUGAUAAUUUUACCCAACUAUCAUACGUGAGAGCAGUGAAUCUAUAACAUAUAUUUAAAAAAAAAAAUCUCCUAUAGGGUGAAUGCUUGACACAUGUUAACUUCAACUAUAAGUUUUUUAAAGAUUUUAGUUUAUAAAUUUUAAUGCAAUUAUAAAUUUAUAAAAUAUUUUAUAUUUAUUUUUAAGUUUGUUUUAUAAAUUGAGUAUAUGGUUUAUAUGUAUAAUUUUGAGAUUUUUUUUAGUUUUUUUUAAAUGAGUAUAUUUUUUAGUCUUUUUAGUUUUUUUUAAAGCUUAUCACAUACGCUUUGUUAACAAUAGCAGAAUACAAUUUUAUGCGACUUAUUGGGCUUAUUGUUUUGAAAAAUGAACCGUUUUCUUGGAUCUUUUUCUACAAAAUGACGCUCACUUAACCCUAAACUAUUCACUAGUUGUUUUUACUCUGAAAGUUCAUGAGAUACCACCAGCGAGAAGAGGAGUUAUCAUUUAUAGGUAAAUAUCUUUGGACUUUCAACUAUUAUUUCUAUUAUCUUCUACCAUGGUUAGGGUUAGAAAUGGUUUGGGUGGUCGGGGUGGUGGCUACUCUGGUUGUGGUUGUAAUGCCCUCAACUCGACUCAAUUUGCUGGCUCCGAAUAUCACAUGUUACUACACCAAUUAUUAACAAAUUUUACAAAACAAUAUAAUAUUACUCAUUUCCUUAAGUAUUCUAUUUAUUAUUUUAACUGAAUAAUUAACGUUUUAAUACAGGAGAAAUGUUUCGAAAUAACUAGUUACAACAGACUUGACAUGAAACAUUACAAAAUAGAAGUUUAUUAAUGACAUAUACAGAUGACGUAGUCCUAGACUACGCCACUUUUCCGUUGUAUGCAUAAUAGCUCAUCCCGCCAACACCUUGGCAUACUCUUGACAUCGUCUCUCCUGACGCAAACUCGUUCCAAACCUGAAAACAAUAACAAACCUUGUAAGUACAAGAGUACUUAGUGAGCUUUGUUACAGAGACACCAGAAUGGGCACUUUGCAUUCUUGUAUGAAUUAUAGCGUGCCAACCAUUCUUCUAAACCAAUAUUUUGGGUAGAUAUCACUUCAGUUUCAACAUACCCUUAUAGCCAACUAUCAUGCUCUUAUUAUACUCACAUCUUCCUUAUCUAAUUAACUGACGAUCCUUCGAAACAUUUCUUAAGCCUCUAAAGCACACAUAUAAUUCUCAACAGAACAUAUCCUCGGAGUUCACUUUUAACAAUCCAUGCCUUAACACAUACACUUAACUCAAAACAGUUUUUCAUAGACAUUUUUCAUGGAUGAAUACUUAUGCAGAACUUGAUACCAUUAAAUUCACACUCAGACAUUGUAACACCCCUCACCUAGCCCGGCCGCCGGACUCGAGUUACAUGACACUACAACAUUAUCGUAACUUUACCACAUGCACACACAGCUUCAAGUAAGAACAAUUUACAUGCCCAUAUGGCCAGAUAAUCUUUCCAAUAUUUGAUCUAUGAAUGGUAGAGGAAAAUGAUCUUUUCUUGUGGCAUCAUUGAACUUCCUAUAGUCAAUACAAACUCUCUAUCCCGUGACUGUUCUCGUCGGAAUCAACUCGUUCUUCUCGUUAGCUACAACAGUCAUGCCUCCCUUUUUAGGAACAACCUGCACAGGACUCACCUAAGUACUAUCAAAAAUAGGAUAAAUAACUCCAGCAUUUAGAAGUUUGAUUACCUCAGCCUUAACGACUUCCUUCAUGUUAGGAUUUAACCGUCUUUGAGCUUGCACACAUGGUUUGUAUUAAUCCUCCAUUAAAAUUUUAUGGGUACAAAAAGAAGGACUAGUCCCUCUAAUGUCAGAAAUCUUCCAGGCUAUAGCUAUUUUAUGUUCCUUCAACACUUUCAAUAACUCAUCUUUCUCAUUUGGCUUUAAAUCCAAAACAAUAAUCACAGGUAAUGUAGAAUUGUCUCCAAGAAACGCAUACUCUAAGUGAUUUGGUAAUUGCUUCAGUUCGAGCUUGGGAGGUUUUUCAAUAGAGGUUUUAAUUUCAACUCCUUGCUUACCUUAAUGUCCUCAUAGUUUGUUUGUCUCAGUGAAGGCUCAUUAGAGUCUAAAUUGAUUUUUUUUCUUACUUAUUAAAGCAUCAUCACCAUUUACCUCCUCUCCUUAAACCAGACACAGUUCCAACAUUUCCCUAUGAACGAUUUCCUUUAAUAAAUCUUGAAUAACAUGAUUAAUAGAGUCAAUAAAAUAACAAGAAUCAUCCUGUUCUUAGAAAAUCGCGUAGUAUCAUAUAUUUUAAAGAUAAUCUCUUCAUCACCUACCCUAAGCACAAGUUUACCAUCACCCACAUCAAUGAUAGCUCUAGCAGUAGCUAAAAAAGGGAGACCAAAAAUUAAAGGUACCUCAACAUCCUCAUCCAUGUCAAGUACAAAAAAAUCAACGGGGAAUAUAAAUUUAUCUAAUUUUACAAGGACAUAUUCAAUAAUACCCCUAGGAUACUUAACAAAUCUAUCAGCUAAUUGAAUACUCAUCUAGUGGGUUUUGGUUCCCUAAGGCCAAGCUACUUGAACAUUUUCUAAGGUAUCAAAUUAAUACUAGCUCCUAAAUAAGCUAAUGCUUUCUCAAUGAUUAAACUACCAAUAAUCUAUCAGCUUGGUUGGUAGUUUAUUUUGGAGAAUAUUUGAACAUUCCUCGUUGAGUUCCACAGUGGAUAGCUCUUCAAACUUCCUUUUAUUUGUUAAUAGCUCCUUUAAAAUUUUUGCAUAUGUGGGCAUCUGCGAAAUAGCUUCAACAAAAGGUAAGUUAAUAUGCAACUAUUUGAAAAGUUUAGGAAAUUUACCAAACUGUUCAUCCAUGCGGUCUUUCUUCAACUUUUUCGAAUAUGAGAUUGGUGGUUUGUAAUCUUUAAGUACCUACGGCUGAACUACUUCGGGAUUUACCCUCUCAUCAUUUGCCUUUUCAGAUUCCUGUUGCAACUUCUUUUCGAGUUCAGCCAACACUUUCCCAUUCCUUAAUGUAACUGCUUUCACAUGCUCUUUUGGGUUGGGUUUGGUAUUACUAGGUAAACUACCUUGUUUCCUUUCCGAAACCAAUUUUGCAAGCUAUCCAAUUUAAUUUUUGAGCCCAUGAAUUAACGUUUGCUGAUUUUUCAAAGCUGUCAUGGUGUUUUGAAAACGAGUCUCUGACACCGAAAUAAAUUUUGCUAACAUCUCUUCAAGGUUCAGUUUUUUCUCUGGCUGAUAGGAUUGUUGAAAGCUCGGAGGGGGUUGUGGUCUUUGGUUUCCUUGACCACCCCAUGAGAAAUUUGGGUGGUUCCUCCAUUCUGCAUUAUAGUUAUUACUAUAUAAGUUAUUUUGAGGUCUAGAAUUAUUACCCAUAUAGUUUAUUUGCUCAUUCACCAUGCUAGGACCGAAGGGUAAAUAUUCUAGAUGAUUUAUUCCACCUCCAUUUGCAUCGUACUGUAUCACCGAAUGAACCUAUGUAGAAACACAUAAACCAUCAAUUUUCUUAUUUAAAAGUUCUACAUGAUUUGAUAACAUGGUGACUACAUACAAGUUGAAAACACCGGCUGCUUUCAUCGGCUUUGUCCUCAUGACUUGCCACUGAUAAUUAUUCAGUGACAUCUCCUCUAUAAACUCAUAAGCUGCUUCAGGUGUUUUAUUGUUCAGAGUACCACCGGCUGCUGCAUCGAUCAAUUGCCUAGUUGAGGGUUUGAAAUCAUUGUAGAAGGUUUGAACCUGUAGCCAUAAAGGUAACCCAUGGUGAGGGCAUCGUCUCAAUUAAUCCUUAUACCUCUCUCAUGCAUCAUAUAGGGUCUCUAAGUCGAUGUGAACAAAUAAAGAGAUAUCAUUCCUCAACUUGGCCAUCUUAGCCGGUGGGAAGUAUUUCAGUAGGAAUUUCUCGGUCAUUUGCUCCCAUGUAGUUAUAGAACCUCGUGGUAAAGAAUUCAACCACUAUUUAGCUUUAUUCCUUAACGAGCGGGGAAACAACUGUAGAUAAAUGGUGCCAUCAGAAAUGCCACUAAUCUUGAAAGCAUAACAGACUUCUAGAAAAUUAGCCAAAUGAGUAUUGGAAUCUUCAUCUUGCAAAUCAUCGAAUAAAACAAAUUGUUGUAUCAUCUAAAUAGUGUUCGGCUUCAGUUCGCAAUUAUUUGUAGCAAUAGUGGGUCUCACAAUACUCGAUUUAGCCCCAGUUAUAGUGGGCUUGGCAUAAUUGUACAUAGUACAAGGGGCAGGAUCUAGAUUUGUAGCAACUAUAGGCUUGGUUUUUGCCCCGAGUCACUUGUAAAAGAAUGCACACCUAUCACCGGUGUCUCUAGCGAUGUCCCAUGCCUUAACAUAUACACUUAACUCAAAAUAGUUGUUCAUAGACAUUUUUCACGGAUGAAUACUUAUGCAGAACUAGAUACCAUUAAAUUCACACUCAGACAUUGUAACACCCCUCACCCAGCCCGGUCGCCAAACCCGAGUUACAUGACACUACAACAUUAUCGUAACUUUAUCACAUGCAUACACAAUUUCAAGCAAGAACAAUUUUUAUUAGUUGAAGCAUUUUCAGAGGUGAUUGCGACUAGACAAACAUUAUACGACAUUCAAAAUAGUUUAAAUACAUGCUUAGGGACCAUAUAGCAAAUUUCCAAAAAAAAUAAUGUAGGUAUCGAUACACAAUAAUACGUAUCAAUAUUUUGGGAAGUCAGGUAUCGAUACUAAUAAGAAAAUCAAUACCAUUCCAGCAUUCUAUUUUUUCAACUCAAUUUUGAAUCAAAAUGUUGUAUUGAUACAUAAACAAAGGAAUCAAUUUUAGGCACCAUUUUCUUUAUUAUAUUGCUUCCAUUUAUCAUCAUCUAAAUCAACUCAAAAUCUAAAAUCUUGAACCCCAAGAGCGAUCUUGAAUAUUCAACAAAUUCUAUUACACAUGAUAAUAUUCAAAGAUUUGAAGGCAAAUGUAAUCAUAGUUUGUGGGUUAGCUAAUGUUUUAUGUUUUUUGAGCUAAUUAUGAAUAAUAAUUGAACGGAAAGUAUUGCACGAUUGGAAUGAUGAAGGAUGCUUGACAAUUUUGAAGCGAUGUAAAGAGGCCAUUUCAAUCCAAGACAAGGUAGGAAGAAAGUUGAUCAUAAUUGACAUGGUUGUGAAGGAGAUUGAGCAAGUGAGUGAUGAAGCCUCAAGCUUAACUAAAACACAACUCUUUUUCGACAUGUUGAUGUUGGUAUUAGUGGCUAGAAAAGAGAGGCAAGAAGAAGAAUGGGCUAAACUACUUUUAGCAGCUGGCUUUAGUUCUUACAAAAUUACUCCUAUUGUGGGUUUUACAUUUGUCAUUGAGGUUUACCCCUAAGAGCCAUUUGUUAUUGCAUUAUUAGGGUAAUAAUAAUGUCGAGAAAGUCAUAGUUAAACCGGUGAUGUCAUUACCUGUUGACGUCGUUGGCUGGAGUUGUUUACUAGGAUUUGAUCAUUAUGUUGCUCAUUCCUAUAAUAAGAAUUGUUGUUGUGGUCACCAUAGUUUUAAAUAAUUUUAUAGUCCAAAAAUCGAAUAAUAAUAGGAAAGAAAAGUAAAUAAAUUAAAUCAUAAUGGUGUUUCAAGUUCAAAGUUCAUGAUACGUCUGUAUACCAAUUUCGAUCCUAAGUUCGUUAAUUAUAUAAGAAGUUUAAGUAAUAGGGUGAGCUUAACAAGCUCAGUGUAAGUCUAAACAGUCAAGCAUAUUACAUACAUUCAAGCAUUUCUUCAUAGAACCAAAUAACACAAUCAAUAUUCAUAAUAACAUUCUUAUGUAUCAUGACCAUGAGACAAUGCACAUAUGAAUUCCUACCCAAACCAUCCACUACACACCACGAGUUCCCCAAAACCCAUCUGUUGAACUCCAACAUUUGCGAGCAAAGCUUGAUGUGGUAGAAAUCACCAUAUAACAUAAAUGUAGUAAACUUGUCGUAUAACAUAUAAUGCAUUAAAAUUUCCAAUAUCAUAUAAUGCGAUAAAAUCGCCAAUUCUCUUGGUGCUCUAGGUGCAGUGCACUAAUAUGUGGACUUAAUAUGCCACCAGAACUCCACAGAACUCCUCCGUCAUCCACAUAAUCCCACAUCAUGCACAUGCAAUAUGUCAUACUAUCUUAUACAUAGCCAUAAAUCAAUAAUUUUCACAUUUAGUUGGCAUUCUCAAUACAUGUCCAUAAUUAUCACAUACUUUCAAAAUAUGGAAUCAAUAAUCCAACUUUCAAACUUCCAUAAAGACGAUAGUAUUCCCAAAACACAAUUUCAUGUGCUUUCAUUUUUUUUUCUGUGUGCAUAUACAACAGUCUUUCAAACAUAUCAUAGCAAUUCACUUGUACAAAUACAUCAUGCAUAAACCUUAUUUUCAUUCAUAAACAUGCCAUACAUACCACCAAUCAUACAUUAAAUCAACAAAACAUUCAUGACAAUGUCAAUCAUUUAAUCAAACUAGUAGCAACACUACCAUGCCAAAAAGUUAGGGCUCAAAACGUACCUAAUUCGGCCACUUACAAAUUUAAUUUCUUAGCUAUUAAGCCAAGAUCAAUCAACAAUAUAAAUCAUCAAUUUAAUCAUAAUAUGUAUUAUUACCAAACAAGUUAUUGAGUUUAGGUCUUACACCUUAUUUACGCUUUUUUUUGCAGCACACUAGCAAAUCUUGCGGUUUCUUUAAUAAACUUUAAAACGAACCUAAAUUAACUAACUUAAAAGAAAUUAGUGUAUAACUCAAUAAUUACACCUCUUAUACAGAUCCUAAACACCCACUUAUGGGUUCAAUCCAAUCAUCACAAUUUCCCUUAUUUUUUGAAUUUAAACUAGUUAGAUUUCUUACACUAAUUUGAGGUGAACCGUAUGCACAAACGUCUUUUGGAUUUACUGAUUAUUUGGAGCAUUCAGGUCAGCACCUAAUAUAUUUAAAUACUAUAAAAUUAGUAGCUAAUAUUAAUUAAAAUCUUUCAUUUAAGUAAUCCAUAAGUUUUUCCCAAGAUCUUUGUCGAAACAACAAACUAGUUUACAAUUACCCACACUUACGCUUCUCGAAUUGUCAGAUCCGAUUUGUCAAUUGGUUAGAAAUUUUUUUUCCUAAUUAAAACAUGUUUCAAGUGUGAUUAGAAGGGGUUCCAGAACCCAAAUCAUGCUGGAAAAAGAUGGGAAAGAAUUAAAGAACAACAACCCCCUUUCUUGCCCAUAGGCGCAUGCACCACCACCCGUGGUGGCCAAUUUUAGGGUUGAUUUAAAACCACUUUAGGAAUUGAUUAAAAAUAUAGAAGGAGAAAGAAAGAGAUCUUACACAAGCUAGAUGCUAUUGGCGGCAAUGACACUUCUUGGAAAUGAUAGGAAUCGAUGUUGGAGACUUACUAUUUUAGAUUUGGGGCUGAUUUAAUUAGAGAAAACUGAUAGCAAUAGGAUGGAGGAGAUGAUGCAAAAUAUUGUGGCAAAAAGAAAAUAAAAAGAUGAUAAAACUAGGUGUUAUGGGUGACAACAACGGAGGAAGAAAGAAAAAUUAAAGAUCAAUGAAGAGAGGAGAGGGGAUGAACGCUAGGGUGAGGAAAAAAUAGAAUAAAUGUUGAUUAUUUUGUGUAAAAUUAACAUUUAUACCUAGGGUUACAAGGUUUUGGACGACACAUACACUAAAACCAAGAGAUUUUAAAAAAAAUAAUUAUUUUAUAAUAAAAGGGAUUUGAACUUGGGACCUCAAAUUAAAUUCCAUGCUUUCACAUUUAACAACUAACCACUUGCCUAACUUCUUAUUUUUUAUAUAAUUUUGCAUUAUCAUUAAGCUAAAUUUUGGGAUGCCACAGCUCUACCCCUUAAAGAAAUUUCAUCCUCGAAAUUACCUUAUUUGGAAAGAUGAGGAUACUAAAGUUGAAUCGAGUCCUCCGGCUCCCAAGUAGCCUCCUCAACUCUAUGAUUUCUCCAAAGCACUUUAACUAAUAGAAUUGGUUUCGCCUUAACACUUUGAUUUCAUUAUCUAAUAUCCGAACUGGUUCCUCCUCAAAUGUCAAAUCUGGUCUAACCUCAAUCUUUUCAAUAGGGACAAUAUGCGAGGGAUCAGAUUUAUACCAUUUCAACAUUGAGACGUGAAAUAUAUUGUGAAUAUGAUCCAAUUCAGAAUGCAAUUCUAGUUGGCAAGCCACAAGACCAACUCUUUUAAGCACUCGAUAAGGACCAAUGAACCUAAUGUUUAACUUGCCUUUUCGACCGAACCUCAGAACUUUCUUCUAUGGGGAGACUUUAAGAAAAACCAAAUCCCCCACAUUGAAUUUGAUGUCCUUGCACUUUAAAUCGGCAUACAACUUCUGUCUGUCAGAAGCUGCCUUUAAUAUAUCUCGAAUCAAUCAAAUUUUAUCCUCGAUCUCCGUGACUAAUUAUGGAUCAAUCAACUUUCUUUCACCCACUUCAGUCUAACAUAAAAGCGAGCGACACUUGCGACCAUAAAGAGCUUCAUAAGGUUCCAUUUGGAUACUUGACUGAUAACUGUUAUUAUAGGCAAACUCUGCCAUUGGUAGAUGUUCUUCCCAACUACCUUGAAAGUUGAUUACACAACUCCUCAAUAUAUCUUAUAGAAUCUGAAUAACCCUCUCCGAUUGACCAUCAAAUUGUGGAUGAAAAGUUGUACCGAAAUCCAAUAGAGUACCCAAGGCCUCGUGCAAUUUCUUCCAGAAUCAAGACGAAUCGAGGAUCUUAAUCUAAAAUAAUUGACACUGGCACACCAUGCAAUCUCACUAUAUUGGAGAUAUAGAGCUUGGCAAACUUUUGAAGAGAAUAAUCUAUAUGAAUAGGAACAAAAUGGGUGGACUUCGUCAAUCUAUCCACUAUGACCCAAACUGAGUCUUUCUUAGUAGGUAUCAAUGGCAACCCUCAAAUGAUGAUUUUUUUAGUAAAUAGAGUUUAAAUGAGAUUAACGAUUUGCGUUAAUAUAAUUUUAAUUUAUUCUAAUAAAUAAAGAAUACCUAACAUGGUAAAGAAAUAACAAUCCAAGUCAAGUAGUUUGAAGUAAAUAAUUAAUUUGAUUAGUUACGAAAGUGGGUAUUUUUUUAUAAUUUCAUUGGGUGCCACCAAGCUAUUAGGCGGAACCACUUUAAAUCCUACUCAAUCAUAUGUCAAUUAUUUUGGUGAGCAAUUUUUUUCAGUAGUAUCACUUAAUACAUUGACAAACUUAUUUUGAUUUUUAUAAAAAAAAAUUACGGGUAUGCAAUUUUUAAUUUCAAUUUAAAUAGUUUGGUGGUUUUAUCCGUAAUUUGUUUUACUUUAGUCUAUGCACAUGUAAUUAUAAUUUUAAUUCAAUUUGAAUCACAUGUUUAUUUACUUUUGAUAUUUACUAAGUGACAGUUUGGUGACACCUAAUGACACUGUAAAAAAAAGAACUUGAAUAAGAGAUCUCAAACCUAAAAUAGGAGUAAUUUUGUAGUUACUAAACCCUAUAGCAAAAAAUAGUUUAACCCAUUCUUAUUGUCUUUCUUUUUCGGUCACCAAAACCAUCAUUAGCAUAUCGAAGAAGAGCUGCGUUUCUAUCGAGUUGAAGGCUUCACCAUUCAUUUUAUCAUUCUUCAUCAAUACCACAUCUAUUAUCACCACAUUUCCUCCCUUCUUAUUUUGUCUAGAAAUUGCCUCCUUAUAAUGCUUCAAAAUCUUCAAGCAUUCAUUAUCAUUCCAAUCAUGCAAUAUCCACUAUUUAAUUAACACAAAAGCAUAACCUAUUCUUUGAUCAAAAUGAUAUGAUUAUAUCUAUUGCACAUUAUUGUUAAAACAGAGAUAAUUGAUAAAAGAUUCAGAAAAAAACCUUUAGUAAAAUUGCAUUUGAAGCUAGAACUUCCUUAAACAUGUCAACUGCAUCAUAUUUCAAGUUCCCACUAUCUUGUAAGUUAGUGUUGAGCAUUGGCCUGAACUUCAACAAAAGACCAGCAGCAACUCAGUACAAGACCAGCAGUAGCUCCAGCUAAAGUGCAGUACUGAAGCUAAAUCGAAUGCAACAGUUUAUUUUGUUCCUAUGUAACUUUGUUUAGUUUACUUGUAAUUUGUUCACAAAGUUAGUAGGAUUAUUUUAGGAUUUGAAUUGAUGUAAUAGCUGAUAUGUCAACUUACUUUUGUGUGUAAUUUAAGUUAGUAUUAGUCAUGUAUUAGUGGGAGCAAUUAAGUCAUUAGGUAAUUGUCCAACUUUUUUGUAACUCUCUUAUAUUUUUCAAAUUUUGAAUGAAAAUCAGGUUGAAUUUUUCAGUUAUCAUUCUUGCAAAGUUUCAUUCUGUUUUUGCUUCGGUUAUUUUGUUUUGCUGCCAAAAGUUCCAACAAAUGGUAAUCAAAGCCUAUCAUCUUUAAGGGCCUCUAUUGUUGGUUGUUUUUUGUCAAAAACAAAACCUGAGAAGGAAGAAAUCGAAGCUGCAAAAUUUGUUUUAGCAUGAUGAGCUUAAAACCACCUCCACCACCUGUGUUUACUAGAGAGAACUAUCACAUUUGGUUGGUUAAGAUGAAGACAUGCUUUCAGGCACACGAUUUGUGGAAUGUGGUCAAGAAUGAUGUUGAACCACCUCCAUUGAGGGCCAAUCCCACCAUUGCUCAGAUUAGGCAGCACAGUGAAGAGUGUGCCAAGAAGCACAAAGCAAUGGCUUGCUUGCAGAAUAGAGUAUCUGAUGUGAUCUUCACUAGGAUAAUGGCCUGUGGCUCAACAAGCAUAGGAUAAGCUGAAGGAGGAAUUCAUGGGGUCAGACAAAAUAAGUUAGCAACAAGUAAUCAAUCUCAAGAGAGAUUUUGAGAACCUGAAGAUGAAAGAGUCAGAGACCAUCAAGCAGUACUCAGACAGGAUAAUGGCUACUGUCAAUAGCAUAAGGCUCCUUGGAGAAGACUUAAGUGAGAGCGGAGUUGUUGAAAAAGUCAUCACUACUCUCCCUGAGAAGUUUGAGUCUAAAAUUUCAUCACUUGAGAACUCGAGAUAUUUGUCAGCUAUCUCAUUGUCUGAGUUUUUAAACUCCCUGUAUGCACUUGAGCAAAGGAGGGUCAAUAGGUAGGAAGAGCAUCCUGAAGGAGCUUUCCAAGCAAAGGUCAAUGGAGGCUCGGGUUCAAAUCAGAAAGGGAAGAAACCAUGGCUCGAUAAGAAGGAAAAAUCAAGGAGAGAUGCAGUAAAGAAGAGGUUUUCAUAAUGCAUUCACUGCAAAAUGACUACACAUUUGGAGAAAUACUUUUGUAUAGGCUAGACAUCUAGUGCAGAGGCUGCAAACAGUUUGGCCAUGUUGGGAAAGUGUCCAAAAGCAAAGGGAAGGAACCAGCUUAGCAGCAAGCUCUAGCUGCUAAAGAUCUUUAAGCUCAAGAGGAGCAUGUUUUCAUAGCCUCUUACUUUGCAAGCUCAAGCAAAGUCAGAUGUGACUGGCUAGUGGAUAGUGGCUGUUCACACGACAUGGCAGCUGAUGAGAAGCUGUUCAAGGACCUUGAUAGGAGUUUUACUGCAAAGAUCAAAAUUGGUAAUGAGAAUCUGAUUGAAGCCAAAGGCAGAAGAGAUGUUGUGAUCAACACUUGGUCAGGUAACAAAGUAAUUUUUGAUGUGUUUUUUGUGCCUGACAUAGAUAAGAAUAUGCUUAGUGUUGGUCAGUUAGUGGAAAAAGGGUAUUCACUGGUCUUUAAAAAUGGCUCCUCCAUUGUCAAAGACUCACAUGGUUAGGAGUUAGUCACAGUAGCAAUGAUAGAUAGGUGUUUUAUGCUCGAUGUGAAUCAACUCGAGAAGAAGGCUUACACAAGUCUUGUUGACAAUGCUGGCCUAUGGCACCAAAGACUAGGUCAUAUCAACCAUAGAUCACUUGACUUACUGCAUAAGUUGAACUUGGUUGAAGAUAUGCCUAAGGUUGAAGUCAAAUUCACUGUAUGUGAAGUCUACCAGCUUGGUAAGCAGGCUAGAUUGCCAUUUCUAGUUAAUAAGGCAUGGAGGGCUCGAGACAGACUUGAGUUGUUCCAUUCUAAUAUCUGUAGGCCAAUAAGGACUCCUUCUUUGAAUGACAACAAGUAUUUUGUGCUAUGUAUUGAUGAUCUGACCAGGUUUUGUUAGGUUUAUUUCUUGAAGAAAAAAUCUGAAGUGUUUGAAGCAUUCAACAAGUUUAAAGCUUUAGUUGAAAACCAUACUGGCUGCAAGAUCAAGGCUUUGAGAACUGAUAAUAGCACUGAGUACCUAUCUGAAAGGUUUCAGAAAUUGUGUAAACAAGUUGGGAUUCAUCAUCAACUAACAACAGUCUAUACACCUCAGCAAAAUGAAGUAUAUAAGAGGAAGAAUAGAACUGCGCUUAAUAUGGCCAGAUGUCUAUUAUUUCAGAGCAAGUUGUCAAGCAAAUUUUGGGCUGAGGCAGUCAAUACCUCAGUGUACCUGCUCAACAAGCUACCAACUCAUGCCGUCAAAGACAAAACUCAUUUUGAAGCUUGGCAUGGACUCAAGCCAAUUGUUUCACAUCUGAGAGUGUUUCGUUGUGUCUGUUAUGCCUUCAUUUCAGUUGAGAAGAGAACCAAGCUUGAAAGAAGGGUUGUUCCAGGGAUAUUUAUUGGGUAUAGCAACACAAAAAAGGGCUACAGGGUAUUUGAUCCUUCAACAAAAAGGAUUUCAGUGAGUAGAGAUAUAAGGUUUGAUGAAGAGAAGGUUUGGAGCUAGAAUGAUGUAGAUGCAAAGUUGAUUGAAGAAGAUCAACUUGACAACAACCUGGAAUCAGUUGAAAAUGAGCCUAGCAAUGAAGAUUUUAAUGACGCUCCUAUGAGAGGUACCGGAAGAAGGCCAUGGAAGCUGAAUUAGACAUGAUCCAUAAGAACGACACUUGGGAAUUGGUUGAUAGACCAGAUUAAAAGAAAGUUAUAGGUGUCAAGUGGGUGUUUAGAGCCAAGUACAAUGCUGAUGGCUCAUUAAACAAACACAAAGCAAGGCUUGUAGUGAAAGGCUACAGCCAGCAAUAUGGCAUCGAUUUCAUGGGCUCAUCAAUUAGAUGUUAAGUCAACAUUUCUGAAUGGUUUCCUCACGGAGGAGAUUUUUAUUGAGCAACCAGAUGGGUUUAAGGUCCUAGAAAAAGAGGACAAAGUCUACAGGUUAAAAAAGGCACUGUAUGGCCUAAAGCAGGCACCAAAGGCCUGGUAUGACAGGGUUGGCACAUACCUGUCUAGGCUUGGGUUUGAGAAAAGUGUUAGUAAAGCUACACUUUAUGUGAAAAAGUCAGAAAGUGAGACCUUGUUGAUUAUAUCUCUCUAUGUGGAUGACUUACUUGUGACUGGAAGCAAAGAUGAAUUGAUCAGUGAAUUCAAAGUGCAAAUGCAAGAAGUGUUUGAAAUGACAGAUUUGGGAGUCAUGACAUACUUUCUUGGUAUGGAAGUGAACCAAUCUAAUCAAGGCAUUUUCAUUGGCCAACAUGCCUUUUCCUUAAAGAUUCUCAACAGAUUUUGCAUCUUGAAUUCCAAAACAGUCAGCACACCAGUAGCACAAGGAGACAAGCUGACCAGUAGUGGAAAUCAAAAAAGGGUUGGUGAGAAAGAAUAUCAAAGCCUGGUAGGUUGCUUGCUCUACUUAAUAACAACUAUACCUGAUAUUAUGUUUGGUGUUAGUCUUUUAUCAAGAUUUAUGCACUGCUAUGAUGUGACUCAUUUCAAAGUAGCUAAGAGAAUCCUCAGAUAUGUAAAGGGGGCCUUGAACUAUGGAGUUAAGUUUGAGAAUGGAAAGGAGUUUAAGCUAUCAGGAUACUCUGAUAGUGAUUGGGCUGGCUCUGUAGAUGACAUGAAGAGCACCUCUGGUUAUUUCUUUACCCUUGGAUCAAGAGUUUUCUGCUGGAGAUCAAAUAAGCAACAAACUGUUGCUUAGUCCACAGCUGAAGCAGAAUACAUUGCAGCUGCUACCGCUGUUAAUCAAGCCAUUUGGCUUAGAAAGCUCCUGUAUGAUCUUAAUGAAGAACAAGCUGAACUAACUGAAAUCAAAGUUGAUAACCAAUCAACUGUUGCCAUAGCUAAAAAUCUAGUCUUUCAUGGAAAGACUAAACAUUUCAAGAUCAAAUUUCAUUUUGUUCGAAAGGCUGAACAGUCAAAAGAAAUCAAUCUUGUUCAUUGUAGCCCAGAAACUCAAUUGGCUAAUAUUCUGACUAAGCCAUUAGAAGCUACUAGACUUGAAGCUUUAAAAAGCAAAAUUGGUGUUUGUUGCAUACAAUCUAAGGAGGAGUGUUGAGCGUUGCCCUGAACUGCAACAAAAGACCAGCAGUAACUCAGCACAAGACUAGCAGCAGCUCCAGCUGAAGUGCAACAUUGAAACUGAACAGAAUGCAACAGUUUAUUUUGUUCCUAUGUAACUUUGUUUAGUUUACUUGUAAUUUGUUCACAAAGUUAGUAGAAUUAGUUUGUGAUUUGAAUUGAUGUAAUAGCUGAUAUGUCAGCUUACUUUUGUGUGUAAUUUAAGUUAGUAUUAUUCAUGUAUUAGUGGGAGCAGUUAAGUCAUUAGUAACUGUCCAACUCUUUUGUUACUCUCUUAUAUUUUUCAAAUUUUGAAUGAAAAUCAAGGUGAAUUUUUCAGUUAUCAUUCUUGCAAAGUUUCAUUCUAUUUUUGCUUCAGUUUUUUUUUCUUUAUCUUUUGUUUUCCUGCCAAAAGUUCCAACAGUUAGCAACAACAUGAGGAAGAUUAAGCAUAAUACACUCCAGGUAUGGAAACACAUCAACAAUGGCCUUGCUCAAUGUUCUGGUACCACCUCCAACAUCCACCAAAGAAUUCAAUCUCUUGAACACCUUCUUGCACUUGUCAAUAAGAUUUCUAUUAACCAAUUGAUCAUCGCUAGCCAUGCCUUCAUUAAACAAACUAUCUAGCUUUUGGUCAUGUCCGGUAUAGUCUUAGAAUGUCUUUCCGUGUGUGGUAUCAAAUGGAGUAUGAUCAUUAUUUUGGAACCAGGUGCCUAAACAAUACCAAGGCUCUGUUAAAAUAGGAUCCAACAUAGCUUUCAAAAAAGGUGUUACGCUUAAGGGAUUAUCCUUAAGUAGCAGAUGAGAAGCAUUUCUAAGAACAUAACCAUCUUCUUGAGCAUCAUUGCAUAAAUUUCGUUGUGCAAAGAAGGCCGAAUGAGCUAAAAUACGCAUGAGCCGGUAGAUGUUGCAUGCCUUGGUAGGGUUGAGCAUUGGCAGUGCAGCAUCCAAAUCAGUAAUGGCUAUGGGCUUGCCAUGAUUUUGAAUAAUAUAUGGGAUACCUAAAUGAAUUGCACAUUUGAGAGACAUGGAAUUUAUGAAAUUCAAAAUGUGGUUCAAAACGUGAGCUUGAGCUUGAAGUAGCUCAUUAACAUACUUUCCGUUCGCAUUCACCAUAUCCAUCUUAGCCAAGGUCUUUUGGCCUUGCUCUGAACCUACGUAACACUGGAAUUUGCUAUUUAUAGACCGUGAAACAUAUCUGUAAGUAUGGCUUUACUCUGAAUCCGCACAACACUGAAAUUUUCUAUUUUUAGAAUAUUUUUAUGCCUUUUCGUGGUCAUUGGUUCCCAUGUUGUAACGUCUCAAUAAUAGAGUUAAAUCUGUUCAUUGUAAUAAUAGUAAAUGAGCCCAACGCUACCAUAAAGAAAUAUCAUUAAAGAUAUUGCAAAGGCGAAUUGAUCUUCCAUCCAAUGUUGUCUUCAAUCAACCUUUAAAACAAAAUAAUUAAGAAAUUAAAGAAAUAUCAUUUCUCUUAAAUUAUAAUUGAUAUUAUUAGUAUAAUAUUUUUAUUAUUGUAAAAUAGAUGUUCAUGCAGCCCCAUAAUGCCCAAGAAUUCAUUUUCUUGCAACUCUCGUACCCCUAAAAAUAUAUAAGGAACCUUAAUUAUAUUUAUUAGAGUUUUAUAACUUAUGGUGGUUGAGGCCCUAAAAAUAGAAGAUAUGUAUAAGUCUUCUAUAUAUCCCAAAUUUAAAGUUGAAUAAUCCUUUCAUUUUUUUGUUAUUCUCUCUUGUUCAUUCUAUAUUUCUUUUUGUUUUAUAAUACAUUAUCAGCACAAUUUUGUUAACGAGUAAUAGGUUCUUAGUUUGUGCAAAAUUUUGUUGGGCUUUAAGCAUUGGAAAUUAAUUGUUUGGUUAAAAAAUCGUGUGUGGUUGCUUGAGAUUUGUUUGGGGACGACCACUUUCUCUUCACUACAAAGAAUGCUCAUAGUCUAUACUUCUCAUCCACAAUUACCUAAGUAAGUCUAAUAUAUAUUUUUUUAAAUUUGAUUCGAUUUCUAUUAAGAAGUUAAAUUUAUAUAAUUCUCUAUUUGCAUUUCUAUGAAUUUAUCAAUCCCUUCUUAGAGUUUAAUAAUUGGAAUUUCUACGUGAAGUAUAUGUUUUUUUUAUAGAAUUGAUUGGUUUAGUUUUAAUUUUGAUUAAAAUAUAUUAUUGUUCUUAUAUCUUCUUAUCUAUUGUAAAGGUAUAUUAUAUGCAAUAAUUAGUUUGGAGUUUAAAUUUAUACAUGCUUGAGAAUUGUAUAAUGAAUUUUUUGCUACAACCUCACUAAGAAAGUGUGUAAAAGAUUCUUUAAAAUUAUGGAUUAGUUUUGAAAGAAAAUUAUGAUAAAAAAAUUAUCAUUAGAUAUAUUUCAUUCUCUAAAGUGAAUGUCAAUCUUAAAAAUGACAAAGUUAUAACUGCGGUUAUGAGCAUGGUCUUUGAUGAGCUAUUAUGGGUAUAAUAAUCACUAUAAUUAUAGUGAUUAUAAUAAUUCUUUUUUCUCCUAUAAAGUGGAAUGGUAAAUUUAAAUAAGAGAAUCACUAAAGUUUUCCAAAUAGCCCUUCAAAGAGAACAAAAAUAUUUUUGUGAUACUCAAAAAUCAUUUGACACGUGCAUAUUGAUUGUGUAUUUUUCCAAGGUUUCAUCAAAAAAAUGAAAGGGAACAUGUGUAUAUACACAUUUGAUCAUUUUUUAUCAUUGAAAUUAAUUUGGAAAGUUGACAAUUUUGACGUAAUCCCUGAAGCGAAUAUUGCACAAAGUUUUAUAGAAAUUAUAUUUCUUUUGUUGAGUUAAUGACAUUAUGGACCUCUCAUUGAUUUAGACAUUUUUAGAAGUAAAUGUCAUAGUUGAUACAAAAUAAAAGGAGUGACAACGGAAUUAUAAAUUGUCACAAUUUAUAUUGACAUUAUAAUUCUAUUAGUUGUGGAAAAGUAUAAGGCUAAAAAAAAGAUGAUGCUAAUAAACAUUAUGAUAAAUAUGAAUGCAUUGUGUUCAUGCCUGUAGCAUGUCUAAAACAUUAAAUUUGGCAAAGUCUUAUAAAAAAAAAAGAGAGACUCCAUAUUGCAUGAUAAUAAAAUUUGAAUUAAAAUUAUGCUAUAAGAGUUGGAGGUUAGAAAUUUUUAAUUUUAAACCUUUGCAAGUUUAAUAUCUUAUUGUGACCUAAUAAUAUUUUGUAUUUUAUUGUAUUACGGUAUAUAAAAAAUUAUCUAACCGCAUGCUUGUUAAAGUGAUUGAGUAAUGUCAUUAAUUUAUUUUUUGCUAUGUUUAGUAUAUAUAUUAUUUAUACUUAUUCUUUAUACAAAUAUACAUCUUCUUUUAUAUGAAUAUGUAGGGAUUGUCCUGAUUAAGCAACAAACAAAUAAAAAAUAGCUGAAGUAAUUGAGAAAUUGAGUACACAAAUUUAACGUGAGAAAACCCCUUUAAAGAAGAUAAAAAACCACGGGCAAAAGUAAUUUUACUAUAAUGGCAAAAGAACGAAGAGUAUAAAAGAUGGAGAUAAAAACUAAACCCCAAAACAAAGAACCCUCAAAACGUAAAUACAAAAUUCUCCAAAAGUGUUAUGAGUUCUAAUCCUUUUUAAUGGAUGUAUUUUUUAAGGUUAUAAAAGAGCAUAUUUAUAGGCUAAAUUCGUAAUAAAAUAAUCUAGACUAAUUAGAGUUCGACUGAAACAGAUAAACAAAGUUUAACCGAGAGAUUACCUCUCAAAUUUGACUGAAAUGUAAGGCAUACUCAACAAAUCUCCACCUUGAUUCAUAUUUUCACAACGUCAUUUUUGCCAAAUCUCGCCACGGGCCUAUGUUGAACUAUGUAGAGAAUUAAUUAAGUUGAAUCUAUGCUUAGAAGCUGGAAGACUUCUAACAUUAUUGCUAAAUCAAAACUAACCCGGGUCUGACUUUCACGAACAGAGUGCCCUAACUUUUCAAAACCUGCAUCCAAAAGAGAACCUUUCUUCAACAAAACAAUCAUACCUUUUUCCCUCCUGUGACCAAGUUGCCUCCACUCCAAACGAGUUGACUUCGACUCUGUAAUGGACGAGGGAUGUCUGGUUUCAUCGGUCACUAUAGAACCUUCUAGAAUGUAAAGACUACCGGCCUUUUUACCUUUUAACAAAACAAGAGCCCCACGAGACACCUUAAUGACGCUUGACUCAAUAUUGAUUUUGCAACCUUUUGAGUCUAAAACACACAAGCAGAUGAGAUUCUUUCGUAAACCAGGAACAUACCUGACAUUUGAGAGUGUCCUAAUCGUCCCAUCGUGCAUCCUAAUUUUAACAAUGUCACACCCCUAACCCCUCUCCGUCACGAAUUAGGGUUACGAGCAUGACUGUACAAUUAUAAAUUCUACAAUUAAUUUCAUUCAAUAGCAUAAACAUAACUUAAAUCAUUCAUGCAUACACAUAUUUUCCCUAAAUCGAGCCCUCGAGGCCCUAAAAAUACUUUAGAAACAAAUCUAGACCAAUUUGAAAUCAUUUUAAAACCCUAGGAAAAAUUCACAAAAUUUUGAAAAUAAGGGUCACAUGGUCGUGUAUUUAGGCCGUGUGCCUCACACGGCUGAGACACAGGCCCAUGUCUCAGGCUGUGUAAUAAUCGAAAUAGGGACAUACGGCAGUAUCCCAGCCCGUGCCUAUGCCUGUGUAACAUUUGAAUUUGAGACACACGGCCGUAUCCCAGCCUGUGUAACUCACUAAGUAAGGUUACACGGCCAUGUCACACACCCGUGUGCUAUUUGACUUGCACCCUCAGUACUCAACAGAUGACACAUAGCCAUGUCACCAAGCCAUGUGUCUCACACGGCCAAGUCACAUGCCCGUGUGUUUGGCCGUUUGGACCUAAAAUGUACCUUAAACAACAAGUUUACCAUUUCCUACUUUCUUGGGUAUUAAGAACCUCAAAAACCAAUCAUUUAACCUAUUCAAAAUAUGAUCAAACAUACUCAUAACAUGCCAAAACAAUCAUCUUAGGUGACUAACCAAUGUACCCUCAUUGGUACCACAAUUUAUAUCAUCAAAACAUAUCAUCAAUGUCUAAAAUUCAGAAAUUUCCCCUAAGGUCGUGCCCGUCAUUCCGAUCGACUAUAGGCCUUCCGUAGGGUCGAUAUGUGAUUAAAUAUAUUAUAAAACAUGAAAUUUGGUCAUUUUUUGGUAUAUUUUCUGCUAUCCACAAGUGUAUUUGGGAUGUGAUAUGAUAAUUAAAACUGAGAACAAAAUAUUUAAUUUGUAUCUGAUAUGUUAUGUAUGAUUUUUUCCCUGAUCUUAUUUGAUUUUAGGAUGGGUUAUAUAUAUUAUGUGGAGGAAGUGUUUCUGUGAGAUGUGACAUCUCGCCCUCUACACUGGCAGCACCGCUGCAAAUAUUUUGUAAGUGUCUUAACGACACUAAGUGGUAUGUAGGGUUGGAUGAGUGUUUCAAACCUCAUAUGGUGCGUUUGGAUUGUUGAAGAUGGUGUAUAGUAGUUGGGGGCAAGAAUUAUAUAUGUAUGUUUGUAUCUGAAUUGCUUUGUUAAGAUUUUGUACUGUUAAAUUGUCUGGUAAUAAUUAUCUGUUUGAGUUGGUUGUUACACACUAAGUUACAAAAACUCAUUCUCUAUUUGUUUGUCACUUUUAGGUAAUUCAUAGACUUAGGCGGGUCGGUGCGACAGGAGCUCGGUUAUAUUAGUAUUUUGUUCAUCUUAACUAUUUUAAAUUGGGUUUAAGUGUUUUGUAAAAUUUGGAUUGUUUGGAUAUUUUGGGAUCGUUUUGGUUUUGGAUUUUAUUUUUUGUUUCUGCAUGAUACUGAUAAAACGAUUUAUCAAAAAUGUCUAUUUCCCUGCAAACAAUCGAUUUCGAGAAAAUAAACUUAGUUUUCUAAAAUAUAAUGACCUAAGAAUUUCCAUUGCAAAGUAUCCGUUUUAUUUAGAAAUGUAAACAAAUAACGUUUUCAAUCAAAUAAUAAUGUCAAAUAUGUUUUCUAAUAAAAAGAGUUUUUAAGUAACAAAAUUUUACGAUGUUUUUUAAAAUAUACGAAAAUUAGAUUUAUAAUUAUUUUACGUAACAUUUCUAAAUUCAAUUGAAACAUUUAGGCCGAAUUUAGGAUAUAGUUGUACGGUUGUUUCCGUUUGAAUGAAAAUAAUCAUCUUCACUAAAAAUUUAAUAAAUUGACUUGAACUUUAUAAGCAAACUAAAAUAUGAUCACGUAUAUUAUUAUUUGUUUAUCGGAUAACAUUUCAUUCUUAUCAGGCUGCAAUAUUGAAAUCUUAUUGAUAAAGAAGAAACAAAACCAAAAAAUUUUGAAGACCCAAAAUCCAGAAAAAAGGUAAACGUAUUAUAAUACCUUUUUUACUAUACUUUAAAUUGUAUUUUAGUUUCUUAGAAGAAAAAAUAGUAAAAUAUUCCCUGUACCUUAGAUAAGUAAGAAAAAUAGUCUCUCCGUUAAAGUUGUACUAUUAAAUGUUUUUUUUUGGUGUUUAUAUAUAUAAUAUAAUGAUAAAUUUAGCCUUCAAUUUUUACAUAUUUAUUGAAUUUGACCCAUACUCUUUUAUUGAAAGUAAACUGAAAUUUUUUAGAAAAUUUUACAAGAACUUAAUUGAUUUUUUUAAAUUUGUUACAAAGGCUUUUUUACCCUUUACCCUUACUAAUUUCAAAAAAUUUCUAAUUUAAUACCAAUAAAAGAGUAGGGGCCAUAUUGAAUAAAAAUAUAAAAGUUGAGGCUAAAUUUAUUUUUAUACCUUAUAUAUAAACACCAAAUUUUAACAAUGAACUAUUUUACUCACUUAUAUAAUAAACUAGGAAUAAUUUACUAUUUUUUGCAAUAGAAAAAUAAAAUACAAAAAAAAAUGGUGAUACUUUUAUUCGAAUAUGUGCUACAAUAUUAUCACAUCUAUCGUUUAUUUAUUAAUUUCAAAAACGAGCCUAAAAAACAGGAUCAGAUUUUUGACACGUUAAGAAAUUAUAAUGACCGUCCAAGUCCUCAAUCAAUAAUUAAUUGCAUCAUCGGAGAAAAUAUAUAUGGCUUUGAUUUUAAGCAACUUGGUGCAUUGAAAAAGUCAAUUCACUUAUUUAUUUUUGAUAACGUGAGUAGUAUAUUUAGUUUUAAAUCACUGUUUUAUUUGUUUCAAACGUACAUAUUAUAGUAAUAAAAAUAAUUUAAAUCUCGCGGAGUCAAUUAUUUAUUUCUUCGAAAGUAAUAGAAAUAUGAAAAUUAGGAAAUUUAUUAAUCUGACUUAACAAAUACAAUUAGAUCUCCAAUACUUAUACACCAAAAAUAAUCAUUAACAGAAUAUAAAGUUAUCCUUCCCUACUUAACUAACAUUGAACUGUUCUUAACUAAUUUACAUUUCUUAGUUACUAUUGAUAUUCCCCCUACAUAUUCGAUUACAUUUAUGUGAUAACAAGAAAAAGCACCAAUGUUUAACGGUUUGGUAAGCACAUCAGCAACUUGAUCAUUCCAAGGAACGUAGUUGGCCUGAAGUUGUUCGUUAAGCAUCUUGUCACGCACAAAACGUAAGUCAAGCUCAACAUGCUUGACACGAGCAUGUAACACUGGAUUUGCUACCAAAGACGUCAUGCUAGAAUUAUCACACCAAAUUAUUGGUGUACCUUUAAUCCUCACACCUAUAUCAUCUAGCAGAGAACGAAACCAUGUCACUUCGGAUAUUGCAUUAGCUAGACUUCUAUACUCGCCUUUUGAGGUGGAUCGAGAUAUAACACUUUGCUUCUUACAAGUCCAUCCGAUGAGGUUGUUGCAAAGAUACACACAAAAUCCUGAUGUUGACUUACGAGAGCUAGCCCAAUCAACAUAAGAAAAACCUGUUAAGGAGACAUUCGAAGGCUAAAAAACCAGAACAUGAGUUAGUGUACCUCGAAUAUAACGUAGGAUCCGUUUGACAGCCGUCCAAUGAACAUCAUGUGGACAAUGCAUGUAUUUGCUGACUUUCUUAACAGCAAAUGCUAUGUCAGGUCGAGUCAGACAUACGUACUGCAAACUACCAACAACUUGCCAAUAUUUGGUACCAUCCUCAAGUGGAGAACCAGUCAACGAAGUGAGCGCAGGGGAUUUUACCAUAGGUGUAUUAACUGAUUUAGCAUUAGCCAUAUUAGCUCGCUCCAAGAGUUCUCCAGCAUACUUUUGCUUAGACACAUGCAUACAAUCUCCAUUUGUAUCCACUUGAAGGCCAAGAAAAUAUUUCAACUCCCUUAAAUCCUUAAGGAGAAUGUUUGGUUCAAACAUUGAAUCACAUCAUCUAACUCGGAGCUUAUAUCACCUGUCACGGUUAUAUCAUCAACAUAUACAAGAAGAAAAAUACAACCAGAUAGAGUUUGUUUGAAAAAUAAUGAUGAAUCAGCUCGUGAAACCUAAAAAUUCAGCUGUUGAACUAAAAAACCCUUUAAAUUUUCAAACCAUGCUCUCAAUGCAUGCUUAAAAGCAUAGAUAGCUUUGUUCAGUCGAGAAGCUAAAGGCUUCCCAUUGACAUCCAAGGCCCCCAAACUAGGUGAUUGUCUCUUGUAUAUAUCUUUAGCCAAAUCACCAUUUAGAAAAGCAUUAUUGACAUCAACUUGGUGUAGUUUAUCCUUUCUCGACACAACUAGCUCAAUAAUAGCUCGAACUGUGUUUGCUUUGACCACAGGACUGAAUGUCUCAUGAUAAUCCAAUUUAACAGCUUGAGAAAAACCUUGAGCAACCAGACGAACUUUGUUUCGAGCCACACUACCAUCUGGGUUCUUUUUUAUCUUGAACAACCAUUUGCAGCCAACAAGGAAUCAGUUAGCUGGUGUCGACAAUAAAUCCCAAAUAUUAUUUUUUUACUAGAGCUUGUAGCUCAUCAUGAACAACAUCCUUCCAUUUGGGAAUGGCCAUAGCUUCAUGAAUGUCAAUCGACUCAACAGAACUAAGAGUAGCAGUGUAAACCUUUGGCUUGUUAACCCCAACUUUGCUCCGAGUAAUCAUAGGAUGAAUAUUACUCUGAGUUGAACCUUGCAUCAUUGAACUGGUAGAAGGAAUUAUAGUCUGAGUAUGCUGACUGUCAUCUGAUUUUGAUACGGACAAGCCUGAAACAGUAGAGUCCUAUUAAGGAUAUUGCAUAGAAUAUUUAGAAGGAGCUGGUAUAGAAACCAUAGGAUGAGUACUCACAGGUGAGGGAAACAUAACAAUUGGAAGAGUAGUAACAAUACUGAAACUAUCAAAAGAUACACCAUACUUCCAAAUUGAAACUUUGGCAAAUGGAAAAACCCUCUUCAUCAAAUUGAACAUGUCGAGAAAUGUACACUCGACUAGUGUUGAAGCCGUGGCCUGCAUUGCAACAAAGAACCAACAGCAACAAAUUGGUCAAAAGACCAACAGCAGCAAAUUGUACAAUUUGAGCUGCUAUAUUGUUUUGUAGCAAAGAAAUGGAGUUGGUUCAAUUAUAAAAUUACUUUUUGAAUAUUUGUUCCUAUGGAACUUAGUCUAAAUCUUUGUAAUGAGUUAGCUAAGUUAGUAGGAAAGAUUGACUGAUGUAAUAGCUGGUAUGCCAGCUUUCUUUUGUAUACAAGUUGCUAUAUUUUUAGUAAGUAAGAGCAGUUAAAUUAGUAGGUAACUGUCAAAUACUUUUGUAACCAUCAUAUAUUCAAAAUUUGAAUGAAAUUAUGAUGACUUCUCAGUUACAAAUUUUCUUGCUGAGUUCUUUUCUUUUGUUUUUUUCUUUCAUUCGUUUUUGCUUUCUUUGCUACUGCCAUUGUUCCAACAAAUGGUAUCAAGAGCUUUCAGUCUUUGAGGGCCUUGGUUGUACACUGUCACUAAGCAAAUUGUGUUUGAAAUAAAAGAAGAAGAGGUUGUUUUGCUUGCUGAAAAAUGAGUUUUACACCACCUCCUCCACCUGUCUUUGCUGGAGAAAAUUACAACAUCUGGGCAGUGAAAAUGAGAACAUACCUGCAGGCACACGACCUGUGGAAUGUUGUUCUCAAUGACACUGAGCCACCACCACUAAGAGCCAACCCGACUAUAGCCCAGAUUAGGCAGCACAAUGAAGACUGUGCCAAGAAGUAUAAGGCUAUGUCGUGCCUUCAAAGUGGAGUUUCUGAUGUUAUUUUCACAAGAAUAAUGGCUUGUGACACUCCAAAGCAGGCCUGGGACAAACUCAAGGAGGAGUUUCAGGGGUCUGACAAGACCAGGCAACAGCAGCUGAUCAACAUGAGAAGAGAUUUUGAAAAUCUCAAAAUGAAGGACUCAGAAACCAUCAAGCAGUAUGCUGACAGAAUCAUGGCUACUGUCAACAACAUAAGGCUGCUUGGGGAAGAAUUCAGUGACCAAAGAGUGGUUGAGAAGGUCAUAACAACCUUGCCAGAGAAGUAUGAAGCAAAAAUUUCUUCUCUGGAAGAUUCAAGGGACUUGUCAACAAUCCCUUUGACAGAGCUUAUAAAUGCUCUCUAUGCUCAAGAGCAGAGAAGGGCAAAUAGGCAGGAGGACCACUAUGAAGGAGCUUUUCAGGCUAGAAGCAGAGAAAGCUCAAGUGCAAACUUAAAUGCCAAAGGCAAGAAGCCCUGAACUGAGAAGAAGAAGAAAGAACCUGUCAAAAGGAAGUUCCCACCUUGUGUCCAUUGCAAGAAGACUACUCAUCUUAAGAAAUACUGCUGGUACAGACCAGACAUUCAAUGUAGAGCCUGCAAGCAAUUUGGCCACAUUGAAAAGGUCUGUAAGAGCAAGCCAAAACCACAACCACAAUUUCAAAGCCAAGCUCAAGCUGCAGAAGAGGUUGAAUCACCAGAAGAGCAUGUCUUUUCAGCAUCAUGCUUUGCAAGCUCGAGCAAAGUUAGUAAAAUAUGGUUUAUUGACAGUGGAUGUACCCACCAUAUGGCUUCUGAUAAGAGUAUAUUUAAGGAGCUUGAGACCACCUUCAAGUCCAAAGUCAAAAUUGGCAAUGGUGAGCUGCUAGAGGCAAAAGGGAAAGGCAAGGCUUUGAUAAGCACUAAGUCAGGUAUUAAAACCAUUUCAGAGGUUCUCUAUGUACCUGACAUUGACCAAAACUUGCUAAGUGUUGGCCAGCUAUUGGAGAAGGGUUACUCUUUGAUUUUUGAAGGCAAAAACUGUUUGAUCAAAAAUGCUGCUGGUGAAGUGUUGACUACAGUGGCUAUGCAAGACAGAACCUUCAUUGUGGAUGUGAAUCAACUGCAAGCCAAGGCAUACGCAUCUCAGUCUGAUGAGACAGACUUGUGGCACAGGAGGAUGGGGCAUGUGAACUACAAUUCACUGAGCAUGCUGCACAAAAUGGAUUUGGUCAGUGAUAUGUCCAAAAUUGAGCCAAAGGAUGCUGUAUGUGAGGUCUGUCAGCUAGGCAAACAGACCAGAUUACCCUUUCCAGUCAACAAGGCAUGGAGAGCACAAGGGAAGCUUCAGCUUAUUCAUACAGACAUCUGUGGACCAAUGAAGACUACCUCCUUAAAUGGCAGCAGGUACUUUGUACUCUUCAUUGAUGAUUAUUCAAGGUUCUGUUGGGUAAAUUUUUUGAAGCAUAAGUCAGAUGUUUAUGACUUUUUCUGCAAAUUUAAAGCCUUGGUCGAAAACCAAGCAAAUUGCAAACUAAAAUGUUUGAGGUCUGACAAUGGUUCUGAGUAUGUAUCUCAGAAGUUUCAAAAAUUGUGUGAUGAUUCUGGAAUUCAACACCAAUUGACUACUGUGUACACACCACAGCAAAAUGGUGUUUGUGAAAGGAAAAACAGAACAGUCCUUGAUAUGGCUAGGUGUUUGUUAUUUGAGGCUAAAAUGCCUAAUGUUUUUUGGGCUGAAGCUGUGAAUACAGCUAUUUACCUGUUGAAUAGGUUGCCAACUAAUGCAGUCAAAGGAAAAACUCCCUUUGAAGCCUGGUUUGCACAGAAACCAUCUGUCUCUCAUUUGAAGGUAUUUGGCUGUCUAUGUUAUGUGUUGGUACCUGAGGAGAGAAGAACCAAGUUGGACAGGAGGUCCAUGCCUGGGGUGUUUGUUGGCUACAGCAAUGUGAAGAAAGGAUACAGAGUCUUUGAUCCACUGACCAAGAAGGUUGUAGUGAGCAGAGAUGUGAAAUUCAGUGAAGCAAGUAGCUGGAAAUGGGAUGGAAUUGAAGCAAAUUUGCCAGAUGGAGAAGAGAUUGAUGUUGAUCUGCAGCAAGCUGAAAAUGAAGAAGUAAUUGAAAACGGCUAUGAUGAUCAACCUGUUCGAGGCACCAGGACAUUAACUGACAUCUAUGAGAGAUGUACAGUAACUAUAGUAGAGCCUUCAUGUUUUGAAGAAGCUGCAAAAGAAAAAUGCUGGCAGGAUGCUAUGGAAGCUGAAUUUAAAAUGAUUCAGAAAAAUGAUACAUGGGAGCUUGUAAACAGACCUGAAAACAGAAAAAUUAUAGGUGUAAAGUGGGUCUAUAGAAUUAAGAACAAUGCAUAUGGCUCUCUUAAUAGACAUAAGGCUAGACUGGUUGUUAAAGGUUAUAGUCAGCAGCAAGGGGUUGAUUUUUCUGAAACCUUUGCACCUGUUGCAAGGUUGGAUACUAUCAGAUUGCUGCUAGCUUUGGCAGCUCAAAAGCAUUGGAAGGUGCAUCAUCUGGAUGUUAAGUCAGCCUUUCUAAAUGGCUUUCUUAAUGAAGAAAUAUUCAUUGAGCAACCUGAGGGUUUUAUGGUCACUGGUGAAGAACAGAAGGUCUACAAGCUGAAAAAGGCUUUGUAUGGUCUAAAACAGGCUCCAAGGGCCUGGUAUGAGAGGAUUGAUGGCUACUUACCAAGGCUCGGGUUCACAAAGAGUAUCAGUGAGCCUACACUCUAUGUUAAGAAGGAUCAGGAGGAAACCUUGUUAAUUGUUUCCUUGUAUGUUGAUGAUCUGUUGGUUAUUGGCUGCAAAGAUGAACUUAUUGAAGACUUCAAGAAACAGAUGCAACAUGUCUUUGAGAUGACUGACCUUGGUCUGAUGACCUACUUUCUUGGCAUGGAGAUAAAACAAGGAAGUGAUGGCAUUUUCAUAAGUCAGCAAACAUUUGCUUCCAAGGUGCUUGAAAAAUUUUGCAUGUUGAAAUGCAAAUCAGUCACUACACCAGUUGCAUUGGGAGAAAAAUUGUCAAGUGCCAGUGAACAUGAUCGAGUAGAUGAGAAGGCAUAUAGAAGCUUAAUUGGUUGUUUGCUUUAUUUAACAGCAACUAGACCAGACAUUGUCUAUGCUGUUAGUCUACUUUCAAGGUUUAUGCACUGCAGUAAUGUGGCACAUCUGAAGGCAGCAAAAAGAGUGUUAAGGUAUGUCAAAGGAACCAUCGAUACUGGUGUGAAGUUUUGGAGGGCAAGGGAGCUGAAACUCGUAGGCUAUUCUGAUAGCGAUUGGGCAGGGUCAGUUGAUGACAUGAGGAGCACUUCAGGUUAUUUUUUCACCUUAGGCUCGAGUGUUUUCAGCUGGAGUUCCAAGAAGCAACAAACUGUUGCACAAUCUACAGUAGAGGCUGAGUAUAUCUCAGCUGCAGCAGCUGUGAACCAAGCCAUUUGGCUUAGGAAGAUUUUGGAUGAUUUGAAUGAAAGUCAAGUUCAGCCUACUGAGAUUAGAGUGGAUAAUCAAUCAGCUGUGGCCAUAGCCAAGAAUCCAGUCUUCCAUGGUAAGACUAAACACUUCAAAAUUAAAUUCCAUUUUGUUAGAGAAGCUGAGCAAUCUAGGGAGGUUAGCUUAGUUCAUUGCAGCUCAGAAAUUCAGCUAGUUGACAUUUUAACUAAACCAUUGGGAGCCAACCGAUUUAAUGCUUUGAAGGAAAGGAUUGGUGUUUGUUGCAUACAGACCAAGGAGGAGUGUUGAAGCCGUGGCCUGCAUUGCAACAAAGAACCAACAGCAACAAAUUGGUCAAAAGACCAACAGCAGCAAAUUGUACAAUUUGAGCUGCUAUAUUGUUUUGUAGCAAAGAAAUGGAGUUGGUUCAAUUAUAAAAUUACUUUUUGAAUAUUUGUUCCUAUGGAACUUAGUCUAAAUCUUUGUAAUGAGUUAGCUAAGUUAGUAGGAAAGAUUGACUGAUGUAAUAGCUGGUAUGCCAACUUUCUUUUGUAUACAAGUUGCUAUAUUUUUAGUAAGUAAGAGCAGUUAAAUUAGUAGGUAACUGUCAAAUACUUUUGUAACCAUCAUAUAUUCAAAAUUUGAAUGAAAUUAUGAUGACUUCUCAGUUACAAAUUUUCUUGCUAAGUUCUUUUCUUUUGUUUUUUUCUUUCAUUCGUUUUUGCUUUCUUUGCUACUGCCAUUGUUCCAACAACUAGUCUUAUCCAAACAUUUAUAACCUUUGUGAUUUGGUGCAUAGCCCAGAAAUGUGCAAGGCGUGGACCUAUACUGUAACUUGUGACAGUUGUAUGGUCUCAGCAAAGGAGAGCAUAAGCACCCAAACACAUGAAGCUUCUUAUAAUCAAGAUUCUGACCAAUAAGCUUUUCACUCAGAGAUAUUCCACCUAACACCUUUGUAGGAAGCAAAUUCAUGACAUACGCAAAUUAAAAGGCAUCAGUCCAAUAAGACAAAGGUAAGGAUGCAUGAGCAAGCAUAACCAAACCAGUUUCCACAAUCUUCCAAUGACGCCUUUACACCAUCCUAUUUUGCUCAGAUGUGUGCAGACAAGUGAGUUGAUGAGCUAUACCACAACCCUUGAUAUAUGAAGUAAAGCUGCGAAACUCACCUCUUUCAUCUGUCUGAAGUUUUUUGAUCUUGACACCUAGCUGAAGUUCAAUAUGAGUUUUGAAAUUCAAAAACAUUUGCAACGCAUCAGAUUUCUUGCGAAGAAAAUAUAUCCACGUGUGCCUUGAAAACACAUCUACAGACAAAAUGUAAUACUGUUUGGAAUCAAUUUUCAAAUCUAAACCUAUUUUAUACACUUAAAUUUUCCAGCGAAAUUUUCAAAAAAAUAUAGAAGUUGCGAAUAAUUAACAUAUUCUAAAAGAAAUAACACUGUUUUUAUCAUAUAUGUAUAAGAACCAUACUCAAUCUCAUCGUAAAACCCUAAUAAUAAAUAUAAAUAACUUUUCAACUAAUUUCAAAACUUCCUAAUAAUCCAUAUCAUGCAUCCUAAAUGAUCAGUUUUUAAAACAUUAUAUCCCAUGCCAUGGAUCCAUAAACAAUAAUAAUGACAAUAUCAAUAUUGAGAACCGAAUUAAUAAUAAUAUUCUUAGAUAAAGUUCAUGACAAGUUGGGACCCUCCAUAUGUCGAGCCCACGUUCUAGCCCGUUGGAGUAUCUGAAAAGAUGGAAAAUAGGAGAGUGAGCUAGAGAGGCUUAGUGGGAGACAUUUUACAAUAGAUCAAUUCAAUAUUUGAACAUGCAUGUCAAUCAUUAUAAUCAAAUUCACAUAAUAACCUUAACAAUAUGAUAAUUCAGUUUCUGUCACUCUAGACAAGCAAACAUUAACACUCAAUCAAAUUCAAUUGAACAAUUCUACUAGAGAGUCAUAAUAUCAUUCACAGUGGGUAUAUGCACAUUUAUCAGUUCAGUCAUUUCAUCAGGUGCCUUUCAAUGAUGAUCAUAUUAUGCAAUGCAACAUUUGUUUAACAUUUCUUUUAACAUUCAUUAAUCUUACCCCUGAUCACUAGCUCUCUAAACAGGGAUUUCCCUAGAACCCUUUCUACCUUUUUACUCACCUCGUGGACUUUUACCACUACACUCUUUUUGGUGCAGACAAAAGCUGUCGUUCGGUUGAAGAUCCACAACUGCUCCCAGAUAAAAGUUUUUAGAGGGAUCGUGGAUGGCCAGUAAAUAAAGUCGUAGUUGGAAUCUACUAAGACUUUGAAUACAUAGCGAACAUUCAUUUAUGCAGUAUGAACUAUCGUUUUUCCACCUUUCAUAACAUCCCCCAUGCAUAUGCAAUAUAAUUAGAUCUUUCAGUUCGUUCAUUCAAUAAUCAUUCAACAUUCUACCUCAUAGGAGAAAUAGGGUAAUAAAUAUAUCAAUCAUUGAGGUAUACGAAAAAUUUAUUUGGCAUGUAUAACAGUUUGUAAAUAUAUAUAAUCAUUCACAAAUUUAAACAAACAUUACUAAGAAAUUAUAUUCUAUUGGUAACCAUAAAAUCAUUCACGAAUUUAUGCCAUCAACCAUAAAUAUUUAAAUCAUAAAUUCGUUCAUUCAUGUGUUUAUCCAUUUUAUUCCUAGUCCGGGACCUAAUUGUAAAAUCUAGUUCUCUAGAUGCCAUUAAAAACCUAAUCAGGGGCUGAGUUUUAAAAAAUAAAUCUAGAUAAAGAAAACCUGUAAUUCUUAUGUUUCAAGGGCCACACGUCGUGUGACCAACCCGUGUAUGAAGCCCCAAGCCCUGUGCGAUGCGUAAGGGUGAAGGUGUAGGAAUAGGCCGCAUAAGAUGUGAAGGGGAUGAGUUGUAGGAGCCACAUGGCCGUGUGACCAGGCUGUGUGCAAGUCUCCAAGCCAUGUGCAAAGCAUGAAUGCAAAGGAAAGCAAGGGAACAUAGCCUUGUGAGGGAUCGUGUAACCUACAUGGGUGGGCCACAAGCCCUUGUGGUAGACUGUGUAUACCUGGCAGUUUUGAAUUUUGACCCGAUUUUUCAUAAAAUGUCACCCACCUUACUUUUUCGAGAUCUCAAGCAACUACCCCACGUUCAAGCUCGAUCCAAACACCUACAAUGGCCUUUCAAUUGGCUAAACGAGAUUAUCAGUAAGGGGUUUUCAAGAUUUGAGAGUGUUUUGACAAAAACUUUAAAGAUUCAAUAACAGAUUGAAAUAUCUGUUAAAGCUUGUUGUUACCCAAGAUUGGAAGGUCCUAAUUGGUAGGGAACAAGAUACUUACUGAUUUUUUACAAGGAUUUGACAAGUAAGUACUGCAAACUUCAAUGAUUUUGAUGAAGACACUAGGUUAGGGCUUGAUUGCAAGGAUUCAAGAAUUCAAAGAUUCUUUUUCCAGCAGUAACGUUUUGAGAACAAAAUUGUAAGAGAGAGUUUUUUGAGAUUAUGAAGUAGAGGUUAGGUUUUUAAUUUGCUAAAAUAACAAAUGGGAAUUUUAGUUAAUUAGGAAGAGACUUUUAAAGAAUUGGGUUGAGCAAGAGUUUGAGGUCUAAUGGGCAAAUAGCCCAGUUGUAUUAUUUGGGAUGUUACAACUCUUAGUUCUCUAUACUUUCUACCAAGCUCUUAACCACUAGGCUAUGAUUUAAUUAUUAAUAAUUACUAAAAAUCUAACAUUAUAUUAUUUGGGAUGUUACAACUCUCCCCUCCUUAAAGGAAUUUCGUCCUUGAAAUUUUACCUGUUUCGAAUAAGUAAGGAUAUUGUUGAUGAAAUGAAUCCUUUGUUUCCCUCAUAACUUUCUCAACUCCAUGGUUUCACCACAACACUUUCGUUAAAGGAAUUUGCUUCCUUCUCAGAACUUUCACAUCCUUUUCAUGAAUUCUAACGAGUUUUUCUUCGAAGGACAAAUCAGAUUGUACCUUAAUUUUUUCAAUGGGCACAAUAUGCAAUGGAUCAAAACGAUAACGUUUUAGCAUGGAAAUAUGGAAGAUGUCAUGGAUACAAUCCAAUUCAGGUGGUAACUCAAGUUGAUAAGCUACAGGACCAAUUCUUUUAAGGAUUUGGUGCGGUCCUAUGAAGUAAGGACAGAGUUUCCCUUUUUGACCAAACCUUAACACCUUUCUUUAUGGUGAUACUUUUAGAAAGACUUAAUCUCCCACAUUGUACUCGAUAUCUUUUCUUUUAAGGUCUGCAUAAGAUUUUUGUUUAUUGGAAGUUGCUUAAAAUCUCUCCUAUAUCAGCUUUAUUCUUUCUUUAGACUCUUGAACUAAUUUGGGACAUAGAAAUUUUCUUUCUCCCAGUUCAAUCCAACACAAAGGGGUUCUACACUUUUGUCCAUACAAGGCUUCAUAUGUAGCCAUUUGGAUGCUUGCUUGAAAACUGUUGUAAUACGAACAUUCAACUAAGGGUAAAUGAUCUUCCCAACUGCCUCGAAAAUCAAUAAUAAAUUCUCUCAGCAUGUCUUCUAGAAUUUGGAUUACCCACUCGAGUUGACCGUCAGACUGUGGAUGAAAAGCAGUGCUAAAAUAUAAACUAGUUCUCAAUGAUCCUUGUAGUUUCUUCUAGAAUUGAGAUGUAAAAUGGAGAUUUUGAUCUGAAAUAAUAGACAAGGGUACUCCAUACAAUCUGACUAUCUUUGAGUACUGGUAAGAAGUAAGCUGACUUAGUUAACCAAUCCACUAUAACCUAAAUUGAAUCUUUCUUAGUCGAUGUUAAGGGUAACCCACUAAAAAAGUCCAUCGUUAUGCGCUCCUACUUCCAUUGUGGAAUUUUAAUAAGUUGCAAUAGCCCAGAAGGAAACUGAUGCUCCAUUUCCACUUGCUGACAAGUCAAACACUUAACUACAAAGUCUAUUAUAUCUCAUUUCAAACCUGGCCACUAGUAUAACUCCUUGAUGUCUUAAUACAUCUUUGUUCCUCCGAGAUGCAUGUCAUAAGGGCUAGCAUGUGCUUCUCGAAGCAUGGUUUGUCUUAAUUCUUCAUCUUUCAGCACACAAAACCUUCAUCGGAAACACAAUACUCCAUUAUCAUUCAAUGUGAAAUCUUUGAUUUUACUCUCUUCUAUCUGCUUAAUGUGGGGUAACAAGGUUAUGUCUAAAGGUUUACCUUGCAACUCGGCUAACACACUUCAAUUGUCAUGCAAACUUAACCUUGCUAAUAUUGCUCUUCAUUCAGUCAUCGACUUUCAGCUAAGGGCAUCUGCCAUAACAUUAGCUUUCCCUAAAUGGUAAUCAAUCACACAAUCAUAAUCUUUCAACAACUCUAACUAUCUCCGUUGUCUAUGGUUCAAUUUGUUUUAGGUAAGGAGGUAUUUAAGGCUUUUAUGAUUAGUAUAGAUGUAACACUUUUCCCCAUACAAGUAAUGUCUCCAUAUUUUUAGGGCCAAAGCUACUACGACCAAUUUUAGAUCAUGGGUUGGAUAAUUGCAUUCAUGAGUUUUUAAUUGUCUUGACGCAUAGGCGGUACCUUACCAUCUUGAAUUAACACACAACAAAGGCCUAUAUAGGACGCAUCACUAUACACGACAUAUUCUUUCCCAAAUUCAGGUUGAAUUAACACGGGUGCUUGAGUUAGAACAAUUUUGAGCUUUUCGAAACUGGUGUGCUAUUCUUCUGUCCACUUAAAAGGAACAUCAUUUCUAAGUAGUUUAGUGAGAAGGGCAGCUAUUACGGAGAAUUCUUCAACAAAUCUAUAUACCUUGUUAAGCCUAAAAAACUGUGGAUUUCUAAAACAUUUUUUAGUUGUUUCCAUUCAAGGAUUGUUUCCACUUUCUUAGGAUCUAUUAAGAUACCCUUGGCGGAUACCACAUGUCUCAAAAACAUAACUUCUUUAAGUCAAAAUUCACAUUUACUCAACUUGGCAUAAAGUUUCUUUUCACGAAGAUUUGUAAGACUUUCCUAAGGUGUGCAUCAUAUUCAAGUUUGAUUUUAGAAUAGACUAAGAUGUCAUCAAUUAAUACCAUAACAAAUUGAUCAAAGAAGGGUUCAAAUACACAAUUCAUAAGGUCCAUAAAAGCAAAUGGGGUAUUGGUUAAAUUGAAUGGCACUACAAGAAACUCACAGUGCCCGUAACAAGUUCUAAAGGCAAUUUUAGGUACAUCUUCUUCUUUAACUUUAAGCUAGAAAUACCUUAGUCUUAGACCUAUCUUUGAAAACACUGUGGCUCCCUUAAAAUGGUCAAACAAGUCAUCUAUUCUAGGUAAAGGAUAUUUGUUUCUUAUGGUAAUCAAUGCAAAGUAUAAGGGUUCCAUCUUUCUUUUUAACAAAAAAGAUUGGCGCUCCCUAUGGUGAUGCUAGGCGUAAUAAACCCGCGAUCCAAAAGUUCCUGAAGUUGGAUUUUCAGUUCGUGCAAUUCUUUUGGGGCUAUACGAUAAGGAGCUAUAGAUGCGGGAUUGGUUUCGGGCAUAAUUUCAAUUUUGAAUUCUACUUCAAGAUUUGGGGGUAUUCUUAGUAAUUAUUUGGGGUAUACAUCAGGAAAGACUUUAAUAGUUUAAAUGCUUUCUAAGGCAUUACUAUCGGUAUUCCCAUUUAAUACAUAGGCUAAGUAAGUUUCACACAUUUUUUGAAUUAACUUUUCGACAACCAUGGCUGCCACAACAUUAGAUAGAUAGCCUCUAUGUUCCCCAAACAUGACAACUUCUUUGCCCUCGAUUGUUCUUAACUUUACACUCGGUUGUUCUUAACUUUACUAUCUUUGUGGCACAAUCUAAGUUCGCCAACCCAUACCUAGUAUUAAAUCAAACUCCCCAAAAGGUAACUUUAUAAGGUCAGUAAGAAACACAACCCCUGAAACCUCUAACGAACAUAUUUUAUAGAUUUUAUUAGCGGUAACAGAUUGUCCCAAAGGGCUUAACAUAGUUACGAUAGUAGUGGUCUCUUCUGCCCUAACACUUAGCUUUUCUGACAUUUCACAAUAUACAUAGGAGUGGGUGGAACUUAUAUCACUUAGGGUGAAACAAGGGGUAGAGUUAACAAUAAAUGUACAUGUUAUAACAUUGGCAUUAUCCUUUUCCUUACGACCUCUUACGGUGUAGACUAGGGUAGGUUGUCUAGCCUUAUUUCAAUUGGCACUGGCAUUAUUAUUUUAGUUCUGGCCUUGGCCCCUCGAAGGUGGUUGGGCCGGCUUCUAGUUUUCUGUCUGAUUUUGGGCUGGAGCUUGGUUUAGACCCGUACGUUACGGACAAUUUCUAAUAAGGUGGUCCAUUGAACCACAGACAUAAUAGAUGCCUUUCUUUUUCCAAUACUCACCGGGGCUUACCACAGUAAUCAUAUUUGGGUUUUUCAUUUUUAUCAUUCACCUCAGCUCCCUUUUGUUGUGGUUUAAUUUCUCUAGUCCGUUUGACAAUACGGAUGUCCGAACCAAAGUUACCCGAAUAUCUUUUAACUAAACUUUAGCUUUUCUUUCAUUCAAUAUGAGUUGUCUAUUUAAUCUUCUUAGCAGUUUUGGCUUUCUCCACUAGACUUUUAGAUACCCUUUCCUAAUGAGUGGCAACAUGUAUACUAAUAUCACUUUGCAACCCAGUUUCAAAUUACAAACUUUUAACCUGUUCAGUGCUUAUCAUUUCCUGGGCAUAACGACUAAGUUUUAAAAACUCAGCUUCAUAUUCAGCUAUUAACUUAUCACCCUGUUUCAGUUCAAGAAAUUCAAGUCUGCGAGCCUCCACAUAUCUUGCACCCACAAAACUUCUUUAUAAAGCUUCCAAAAAAUAUUUCCAUUUGAUACGUUCAACCUAAGUACCUUUUUCAACAGCCUGCCACCAAUGAUAGGCCUUUUCCUUUAAUAAGGACAUUGUACCCUUUAGUUUCUGCUCUGGGGUACAUUCUAGAUACCAACCUUGUCAUAAUCUGACAUUGAGGCCACAUUCCAUCACCAAAUCUCCCAUGCCCCUGACCACGAACCUAGUUACUUUAUUGGAACGAAAUUCCUGAGGCGGUGGUUGUCCAACAUACGCAAGAAUGGCCAUAGUAGACGGAGAAGCAAAUGAUAAUGAUUUGUUCUCCAUCACAAGAGUGGCUGAAAAUGUGACCUGAGAUAGAUGUACUUGUUGAUGGGCUCAGCAUCCAACUGCAUCAUCAUUAUGCCUUGUAAACUGAAUGGCACUUGACUCGUCGUUAUUAUAGAAAUGACAUGGUCAUAUUCUGGAGGAAAGCCAUUAAGAAUGGUUGAUUGAUACUCCUCUAGAGAGAUAUGCUGAUCGCACCUAUCCAUUGAAUAGCAAAGGUGUUUAAUUUUAGCCAAAUAGGCUGAUAUCGAAAGCUCAUUCUUUUUAAAAUUAUGCAGCAAAGAAUGAUACCUCAUGGCUUUAGUAGCAGAUUGAGUUCCAAAAAUCUGCAUGAGAGCACCCCCAAAGUUCAAACGCAGAAGAUGAAUCCUAGUCAACUAAUUAUGCAGCGAAGCACUUCCUGUGGAAAGAAGCUAAGCACACAACGUUCAAUCUUGUUGUUCAUACUGUGCAUACGCUAGGUUUUCAACAGUAAGACCAUUGGCUGCAUCAUCUUCUUUUGAGGGUAUAUGAACUGGUCCAUCAGCAAAAGAAUGUAAUUUGUGAGUUUUGAUUACCAGUAAAACAUACUACUUCCAAGCCAAUAAGGUACUGUCAUCGAUAAGCACUACUACUUUAUGUGAAACAAAAAGCAAAUGCAAUGAAAAAUUUCUUGAUUGUUGAUUCUGUCAAAGGUCGCAGCAUCCAUAGCUAACGGUAAUGCUCUAUAACGCUAAUCUGGUGACAGAGACGAGUUAGGGGUGUUACACCAAUGGUUUCAAAAUCAUAAGGCCAAAAUAUUUGAAAUUAAACACAUAACACUUACUGAUUAUUUAUGCACUAUCACUGCAAGUUAGCAUCUUUUACAAAAUACUAUCACUUUCAUAUAACAUAUAUGUCAUGUAUACAUUUUCACUUUUCACAACAGAUACCAUAUCCACAUAUCACAUACUUGAGCUUCUUAUCACCAUGCACAAAUUCAUAAUCAUAUAAGCACAAAUCCACAAAACAAAUAUAGAUACAAGAAAACUUAUGCUCAGAAUUUAGAAUAGAGAUUUAGGCUACUACUAGAUUCUCCAAUAACACCUGACUCGUGUUUAUGAGCAGUGAUUCCAAACAUUCACCCCUAUGCUUUUGUUGAGAAUUCAAAAACUCAACUAGCUUUUCCUUUAACUUGUAGAAGGCUCCAAUGAAUCCGAGGCUUAACACACAAUAACCAUACAAAAUUCACAACCAGAUUGUAGCCAAGGACUCACUUAAACCAACUAAAACAUCAACCUAUUUUAAGUUCUCAUGUAACCAAAAUUUAACAUAACAAACUUAUAAUGCUCGUAACUCGGUCUACACUUAACCUUUUUUGCCUAAAAUGAAUUAUGUUCAUCUAAUUAGUCAUCUACGUCAAAUCAUCAACUCUUAAACUACUAAAAACUGCCCAAUUCAUAUUAUCAUAAUUUUAUGACAUCUUUUUGGCAAUUUUCACAAAAUUCAUUAAAACGUAAGUAAUCAUCAACAAAACUUCAAAGUGAGUUUAAAAACCUUCUAAUCAUGAUAAAAUGAGUUGAAAAACACUUCAAAACCACGUUUUUACUCAAAAUUCAAAAAUCCACCAUUAAUGUCCCAAAUUUUGGGUUUUAUUAAAAAUUUACGAUUCAAUGGGUAAUACUUCAAUUUUAAGGACUAGAUAUCAUGAAAAACUCAUAAGAACUCAAAAAAUUAUCUUUGAUGGCCGAAAAUCAAACUUUUGAUGCAAACCCAAGAAAAUCCACAUUUGGAGAAGAUGAUAAAAUCUACGGAGUUGUGGGUGUUUUUUGAAGUGAUUUUAUGAGUGUUUAAGGCUUGGGCAUUGAGGGAAAUCAAAAGCUUAUAGUUUGGAAAUCAAAAUCAAAUGGUUUAGUGUUGGAAGAGUAAGGGCCUACCACAAGGGAGAGGUCAAGAAGAAAGUAGAAUAAAUUUACUAUUGAGGCAGGAAAUAGGCUGAAAUUUUAAAAUUUAAGCUAAUUGCCUCUUAAAAACUCCUAGCUUUGCCAUUUUUUUCAAAUCAGUCCCUUGGCCCAAAUUGAAAGACUUUUAAAUCUUAUUUUCAAAAAUUUAUUUAGCAGCUAAGAUGCCAGUUGAAUAUAAUUCUGAUUUACCACGCUAUGAAAUUUCGAGCACUCUAAGGCUAAAAUCCCUAAAACUCCUAGACUCUAUUUUGGGGUGUUACAAUUUCAACAUAGGUUAAGUCAUGAACAUUUUCAGAAACAUUCAUAACAAGAUAUUUACUAUAAACAGGUUUCAUUAACUAAAUCAAACUAGCUACUAUUUCUCAUAAACCUACAUACAACAUAUAUAUAAACAUAAAAUCAUUCACGAUAAGUUGGCCACUUAAGACUAUGAAACAUAAAAGUGGGAUCAUCACCACACAUCGGAUACACGAAUCUCCAACACAUUAAUGACUCAAAGAGUCCAAAAUAUCCCAUAAGUGAAGCAUCAAGCUAUCACUGUCCAACACACCAACAUAUCCCCGUAAAUGGAGCUUAGCUCAUAUGCCCUUAUUUCUCCAAUCCAUCGAGGGCCUUAAUGCCCCAAAUCACAACACAAAGGGUGAGUACUCACAAAUCCUAUGGCAUGUCAUCUAUAUCCAAUGGUUUCAAAAGAUCACAAGGCCAAAAUAUCCAUUGUUUCACUCAUUUUUACUUACCAUUUUAAGACACACAACCUUAGUUAUUGAUAAAAAAAUAUGCAACAUUAUCACUAUCACAUAGCUUGCUUAUCAUACUGACAAUUGAUGUACUUACAAGUACAAUCACAAUGCUCCAUAAGCCACAAUAUCAUUAGAUCACAUAACACAUACUAAAAUAAUUCACAUAUUCCUUACUGUUUUGUUAUAUCAAUUAUCACAACUCACCACACAUAUUCAUCACAAUUAAAAAAGAAACAAAUGGGAUAGGAAGGCUUAUUUUCAAAACUUAUGAUAGCGGUUUAGCUCUCGUUUAACACUAUGAAUCAUACCUACAAGCAAUGAUUCCAAAACAGUCAUCGUUCAAAUUUUCACUUGAAAAUCGCAAGCUCAAACUAGUUUUUUCUCACCUUUUGCCUUACUCGAAGAGGGCCUCAACAGUUCCAAAGCUUUACAUAUAUAACCACACAAUAUAUACAAGCAAUUAGCAGCCAAAACACAUCUUAAUUCAAACCAAAAUGCAGGUCCAAAACUAGCUUUUCUAAAAACUAGAAUUUUCUACUAGAUUCGCUAAAACUCAAAUAGGGUUUGUCCUAUUUUGAUUACUCUAACUUUUUUCUCAAUUUAGUCACUCUAAAUAAAAUAAUUGUGCGGCUUAGUUACUAACCGCCUCCCGAUGUACCAACACCAGAGGUGUGAAUACUGCUACUAAGGAUAGGAAUUAAGGCGAUGUCCACAAGUAUAUGGGUCAGGUUGUAAUAUAGUUUACAACAAAGUAUGAAAGUAUCUGAGGAUCGUUCCCUAUGGAGGUGAGACUAAACUAAUAUUAAUUUCUACGUUGAUGGGUCUAGUUAGUAAUUAAAUUAUAUUAUAUUACAAUAUAUCCUAAGUUGAUGAGAAAAUAUCUUUUAUAAAAAUAAGAUAAUUAAGAAUGGGAAUAGAGUGCAAAUUCUAUCAAUUCUAAUGUUGGAAGACUAACUCGUUUUAGUGUUCAUAAUUAGCUUCUACUUAGGGUUCUACAUAAGGCCUCUCUGUCUUCCACUAACCUAAUGUGUCGGCAAAAACUACUUAUCUCUCGAUGCCACAAUCCAGACUAAAUGGGGGUAAGGUUUUAACGAAUAGGUAAUACUGAUUUUGGGUUCAUUCCCACCUAUAUAACUUAUUAGAGUCAUCAAGCCUAGGGUUUUAAGUUCUUCCUAUCCUCAACCAGCUGAUUUGCGAAGAAUCUCUAAAUAGAAGUUAAUGAAUCCCACAUCCACUCGUUAAUCUUCCUUACUGGAUUAGUUCCCCAUGGAUUUAACACAUGCAAAGAAAUUGAGAGUAAAAUAUAAACAUUAUAAAAGAAAUCAAGAGUAGAGAUGAGAAAAAUCCUGAUAAUUUAAUAACAGAAGCACGAACUAAUGAAAACUUAAUGAAAAACUAAACUGAAUGCAAAGCUAAAUAAAAACUAUUCAUAAAGUGUUUAGAUCCUUCUAUUUAUAGGCCUAGGGUUGGUCAUCAAUCAUUGACCUAAUUCGGCUGACGUUUUGCAUUGAAGUUUGUUGUGCAAACACCCUUGGUUAAUUAAUUCCUCAUGUCAUGUCGGUGUCGCGACACCCUCUGGCCUGUGUCGAGACACUAAUGGUAGUUUACGAGCUACGGCUUGAUUUUAGGAUUGUGUCGCGACACCCUCUUGCUAUGUUGCAAAAGCUUACGAAAUUGAUGAACUAUAAGGAAAAGCUUGGUACUCCAAUUAAAGAACAUAUACUUUUGCUUAUGAAUCUUUGCAUAAGUGGAGGACAAUGGACUGGUUUGGAUCAUAACACUUAGACAGAGAUGGUGCUCAAAUAUCUAAUAUUACUAUUUUUAUUAUAUUAUUAAAAAUUCCACGUGUCAACUACUAAUUUGCUAAAGGGUAUUUUUUUUAACAGUGAUAAUGGUAUGGGCCCAUAAUGGUUACAAAAUUAUAAUUUAAGUACUGGAUUUGACAAAAAAAAUGUAUCUAACCAAAAGAAGUGCUAUAGUUUGAGGGUUGUGCAUUGAACUAAGCCUUUUUUAUAGUAGUGAUAUAAAUUUUUUUUUUGUACAACGAAUAUUUUCCCUAGCCUAGUCCUAGGAAAGGUGAACAACUAGAUCAAUAGGUCACAAUUUAAAGUUUAGUGAUAUAAUUAUCUUUAAUUGCAUUUGGUAUCAUAUACUCAUAUUGAUUUUUAUGACAUUUCAAGUUAACUUGUGACAUGAACUAAGCAAAAAGCUUUAAUAUAGUAUAAAUAUUAAAUAAUUGCAUAUUGGGACACUCGUUCUAUUUAGAUAUUUGAUGUCUACGAAGCGUUACCGUGGCUUUGUGUUCAGAGGUUAGAUAAUAUUGUGAUUGAAUUUGAUUGUCAAAGUGUGAUCAAUGCUUUAAAUCAUCCAAGUAUUGAUGUGUUAAAGGUCGCAGCAUCCAUAGCUAACGGAGCAAUUAGAAGCAAAAAAAAAAAAGAAAAAAGAAAACAAAAGGCUACUUUGAUACCAUAUUAGAAAGCACUUGUGGCACUGUUUUCAAUGAUGGAUGUCUGGAUUAUGAAAAAACUCAAAUCUCAAAUUAAUAAUUUAUUAACUAUUGAAGUUGACGAUUAAACCCCAUCAGGAGCGAAGCCAACAAUUCAUUACGGGAAGCCAAAAUAAAAUUUUAAAAAUUUGAGGGAUUAAAAUUAAAAAAAUUGUUAAAAGAAACUUAAAUUAAAUAAUUCAUAACUAAAAGACACUGAAAGAGAUAUUAUGCCGGUAAAGGGUGACCGUCUACCCUGUAAUUACGCCAUGAACAUCAGCAAAAAUGUCUUCGGUUGACUAACACCGUUGUUUGUUUUAUUUAUUUUUAAAUAAUUAGAGAUUUUAGCUUAGUUGGUGUAAGCAGCAAUUAUUUGUCCAUUUAAUAUUAUAUUUUGGUGUGAUUAACACGGAUCAUUUUUUAAUAUGAACGCAAAUGUGUUACUAUUAUUAUUUGUGGAGGUCAUUAAUUUAUCAAGACAAAACGGCGAGGACGGUUGCCUUGUCUCAAUCCGCGACUUAGUACGUAAGUGCUUACCUUUGUAUCAUAUUAUUUAAUAUAUCCUACAUAAGUAAUCUAAUCUAGAUACUGAAAAUCUAAUAAUCUUUGUUAAUUAUAUUAUGGUAAAUUCUGCAUCAAUAUUCACAUUCUUUUGCCUUGUUAAUUUUAAAUUUCUUGAAUGACAGAAUUUUUAUUUGUGGAGUUCAUUAAUAAAUAUUUUUAUAUAAUUGAUGAAUAUUUUAUAUUUGAAAUUUAUUCAAUAUCAUUUAUUUCAUAUUUGUAAAUAUUUAUUUGUAUUAAAUUCUUUUUUUAAAAUAUCGAUAAAUUUGAAAUCAUAUAUCGAAAUAGAUCGGUAUUGUUAUGUACCAAUUCUAGUAGAAAAAUAGUGUGCCCACCGGUGUUGUAAGCUCCCCGACCUGACCUAGAUGCUAGACCGAAUCUAGAAGACAACAUCAGCCAUCGAGAUAGCCUACCAGGGUUAUCGAAGUUUAGAAAACAACCAUUUUAAAACCUUCGUUUAAUUUAGUAGAAAAAUUCGAUUACAAACCGUUUUAUUAUUCCUCAAAAUCUUAAUUUUAAUUUACUAGCAGAAGAAAUGAUAUCGAUUGGUUUUAAGGAAAACUGGGGGUUCAUGCAUACAAAUUAAUAAUUAUAGCAUAAUAUCUUAAAAUUUUAAAUAAAAUGUCAUGCAAAAUAAAUUUUCAAAUCUAAAACCUAGGUUCCAUGCCAUAGUUUGAAAUAAUGUAGUACAAACUAUAAUAAUAGCAUACCCCAAAUUAUAAGUCUUAAUAAAUUGAAAUUUUGAAACUGAGCCGAGACACUUCGGUUGCCACUUCUGCGUUCCUAACCUGGUGGGUUAUCUUUAAGGAUGAAAAUUUAAGGGGAGAGUGAGCUAUAACGCUUAGUGUGAGUUCAAUCACAAGAAAAUUAGUGCAAUAGUUAGUAAGAUGCAUAAGAUAAUAUUGCAUAAAAUAUUCACAAUUAGACAACAAUUCAAAGUAUUAAUUUUUCAAAGCAACCACCAUUAAUAUAUCGGAACUCACAAUAGUAGUUUUCAAAAUAACCAAAUUUUCAUAUUUACCCACAAUGAACAUAUAUGGACACAUAUAUAUAAUAAUAGAUUUUCAAAAUUUGUAUGUGUAUAAGCCCACAUUUGCCGGAGGCCCAAAAAAACCCUAACAGACCCAAACUAAACCAGACUUGGCCAAGUCUAAACCCGAGCCCAGUACCCAAAACACAAACCCUAGCCCAAUUAUAGACCUAACCCACUAGACUAAAUGAGCCCAACUCAGUUUGACCCAAAACCAAAGUCAGCCUAGGGUUUCAAUUUCUGAAACCCUAAGCGCCGCAUCUAGGGUCUUUAGACCCUUGGUCUUCUGGCGCCGCAUGCAGCAGUCACCCGUACCUGCCACCGCCGGACGUCCCAUCACCCCACUUGUGCCCAUCAGCCACCUGCAAAAAAGACAACAAGCAGAGACAAGACAACAACAAUAGCAGUAGCAAUCGGCUAUAAAAGCCAAGGAAAAAUGUAACCAUUUCUUCUUCCAACUUUUGUAAAAAAAAAAAAAAGAAAAAGAAAAACACAUAUUAGCAGAAAGAACUACAAAGCAAGAGAAAAAAACAUUCAAAGUGAUUUUUUUUCUUUUCGGUUUUAUAGAUUUUUCCUCUUUUUUCUUUCUUUCAUUUUUUACUUAUACGUAUAAACAAAAGUAAAUAAAAAGGAACUUACCGGACGGUCGUGGCCUCACCGUUGGAGGGCUGCUCCUCCGUCGUUCGGCUUGGGCCUAAAGGGGGCUGGAAAGUUUUCUUUUUCUUAUUUUUAUGGGUUGAGAGAGCUUGGCUCUCAAGGGCACCAUUUGGUGAGGUAUGAAAGGCCAUUUCACGACGCCGGCCACCGCGUACGGUGGCCCUACGGCGGUGGCCACGGCCGGCAACCAUGGCCGAAAUUGGGGAUUUUAGAGAGAGCUCCAAAGCUCUCUGAAUUUUUUUUUUAAAAAAGGAUGAAUCUUUUUUUAGGGUUUUUUAACAUUUAUAUCAAAUGAAAAACGACGUCGUUUCACCUGGGGGGUCUCGGCGCCAAAAUGGUGCCGUUUUGCGCGACCCGCGCGUGACCCGACCCAUUACCAGGAGGAUCCGCAUGUUUUGUGACUAGGGUACAAUUAGUACCCUAGUCCUUCCGCUUUGUUAAUUUUUUAAAUAAGGUUUUAUAUUUUUAAAUUUUACCCCAUAAUUUUCUGCGAUUUCAGUUAGGUCUCUAUUCAAACGACGCCGUUUUAAAGGAGAGGAGAAAAUUGCCCUUCCAGCCCCUCUAUGUUAUGCACGCGUUCAAAAGAAUCCUUUCCCUUUAUUUGUUUGCGGAUUUGCCCCCGAAAUUCUGUUUUAAAUUAAAAUUAGUCCUUUUUAUUAUUUUUGCUAUUAAUUGAUUAAUUUUAACAAUAUUAUUAUUUUUACUAUUAUUAUUAUUUUUAAAUGUUAUUACUAUUAUUGUAUUUAUUGUUAUUACUUAUCUCAUUAUUAUUAUAAUUAUUUAUUCAUUCAUACCAUUUUUAUUUCAAAUCUAGUUAUAUAUGCAUACAUUUUCAUAAUAUAUGUGUACACGUAUUAUUUUUUUAAAAAAAGAAAAACUUAUAUAUACAUACAUGCUCAUAUAUAUAUAUAUUGUGUAUUUUACGUACAUAUCUAUACAUAUAUAUCUAUAUACAUAUUUUUUAUUUUCAUGAAUAUAUACAUACAUAUAUAUUUUUUAUAUUCCAUGAUUUUUUAUAUAUAUAUUUGCACAUCUAUAUAUAUCUAUAUACGCAUGCUUAUUUUUAUAAAUACACGUAUAUAAAAACAUACUUUUGUAUACCUUUUAUAAUAUAUAUAUACGCAUAUAUGUAUGCAUUUUCUUAUUUACAUUUUUAUAUAUAAUAAUUUUAAAAUGUAUACAUAUGUAUGUAACUUUUUACAUUUACAUCAUCUUAUUGAUUUUCUUUGUUUAUUUCUUUAUUUGUAUUCACAUUAUUUAGAGAAUGAAUGCUUUAAUUUUAUUGUUUGUAUGUUUGCCAUGGUGUACUAUAUUAGUUUGUCUUUUUAUUUAUUUUAUUUUAUAGCCCUUGCUUGUAUUAUUUUAUUUACAUUAUCAUCAUUGUUUUUACGUUACAUCUAUUUUUCAUUCGGACUCGUCAAAAGGGAAAAUUUUCAAAAUUAAAAGCAAUACUCGGCAUUUGGGAUUUUCGAGAGAAUUGAGCCCUAAAAUAUUGGGUUCCGAUUUACUUCGUUGAAUCUAAAUAAUCGAGAGUGCUCUUUAAAAUAAAAAAGGUAAAUAAAAGCUCAUUAUCGGGAAUUCAAUAUGUUGUGUCCUAAUGCAUUAGAUAUGACGUGUUGUUCUCUUGAGACGAGGAUUUUAAAAAAAUAAUAAUAAAAUAAAUAAAGGCAAUAUUCAAUGUUUAGUAUUUUGGGAAAUUGUGCCCUAACGUAUUGGGUUGCAAUUUUUCUACGACUUAAACAAUCGAAUAUCCUUUUAAAUUUUAUUGUGCGAGCUCUUAGAUAAGCUCAUUUCUGAAGAGGCGAAAUAUCGUGCCCUAACUCAUUGGGUGUGACAUUUUCUCUUUCCGAAAUAAGAGGGUCUUAACGAGUAAUUUGAUUUUUAUAAGUUUUAAAACAAAGGAUCGUAUUUUAAAUCUCUUCAAAGAUUUCAAUUUUUGAUACUAAGACAUUAAUUAAUCAAUUAGGUACCAAUUUCGAGCGUUACGAGGAUGGUAAUCCUUCCUCGUACGUAACCGACUCUCAAACCCGUUUUUCUAAAUUUCGUAGACCAAAAGUAUUAUUUUAAUAAAUCCAAACCAUUUAUUAAAAACAAUCAUUUUAUGAGGCGACCUGGUCACACCUCAUCAAAAAAAAUUGGUGGCGACUCUCAUUUUCGUUUUCAUUUUCAAAAACCAAGUCGACCCCGUUUUCACAAAAAAAAUGGUGUCAACAGUAUGCACAUGAGUUUAAAAUGCCAUACAGUUUUGGUUUUUAACAAAAUAGAUCCUACCCCACCACUACACACUAUAAUAGGAGUUAACCAGAACUCCCUUCUCCAACAAACGGGAUAUGGAUAAACCACUAUUGGUUCACAGAUAAUAACUUCCAUUUGACUGUGGAUACACAGCAAGUACCCAUAGUUGGAAUAUGCCUUUAGUUGUGGGUUCAUAGCAAAAAGUCCUCUAGAUGAAACCUGCUUUUUGGCUAUAGUUUAUACAGCAUAAACCUGCAGCUAAAAUCUGCCUUUGGCAAUGGAUACACAGCAAUACCCGUAGAUGGAAUUUGCCUUUGGUUGUGGAUGCACACAAAACAGAUAAAUGCAGAUAAACUACCAAACUUCUUCCGAUCACAUCGUCUCAUCCCAUGCAAUGCAAUGUGGCAUAUUUAAUAUAGAUCAAGUAUGAUAGCAAUUAAUGUACUAAUACAUGACAAAUCAGUAGCAAAAUCAUGCUUUUCAUGUAUUCAGAUUAAUAGUAAAAUAGGUCAUGCCAUUCAUACGAUCACAAGUAUAGAUACAAUAUUAACAUAUACUGUUCAUAAUUUAUGCAAAUAUACAUAUACAAAUAAACACUGCAUUAAUUCGAUCGAUCAUGGUUUCUAACAUAUUUCAUAUCCUCAGGGAUCCAAUUGCAUAAUUUCAAACGCUAAAAAUGGUUCAGAACUUAUUCAGGGAUUCAUCUGAUCAAAACAUAGAAUUCUGGGUUAAAACGGUAAAAUCUUAGUUACAAAGUACACAUAGCUGUAUUAUCGGAUCAUGUGGGAAGCCUUGGGCCGUGUGGAUGGAAUGCAUAGUCGUGUGGCUAAGCCGUGCGGGUCAUGCAAAAUUAAGCUUCAGGGGUGACACGGUUCUGUGGGAGGCCAUGUAGGGGGUCCUAGGCCAUGUGAAAUUUGAACAUCCCAGGGUUUCAAAGUGGCAAGGCCGCGCAUGGGGGACGUGUGGUCCACGCGCCCCUGUGGUUGGCCAUGUAGCCCUAUUUUAGGCUUAGUUUUACCCCGAGACACUUGUAAAAAAAAUUAACCAUUUCUUCUUCCAACUUUUGUAAAAAAAAAAGAAAAAACACAUAUUAGCGGAAAGAAAUAAGAAGCAAGAAAAAAAUUCAAUGUGAUUUUUUUCUUUUCGGUUUUAUAGAUUUUUCCUCUUUUUUCUUUCUUUCAUUUUUUACUUAUAUGUAUAAACAAAAGUAAAUAAAAAGGAAAUUACCGAACGGUCGUGGCCUCACCGUUGGAGGGCUGCUCCUUCAUCGUUCGGCUUGGGCCUACAGGGGGGCUGGAAAGUUUUCUUUUUCUUAUUUUUAUGGGUUGAGAGCUUGGCUCUCAAGGACACCAUGUGGUGAGGUGUGAAAGGCUAUUCCACGGCGCCGGCCACCGCGUACGGUGGCAUUACGGCGGCGGCCACGGCCGGCAACCAUGGCCAGAUUUGGGGAUUUGAGAGAGAGCUCCGAAGCUCUCUGAAUUUUGUUUUUAAAAAAAGGUUGAAUCUUGUUUUAGGGUUUUUUAACAUUUAUAUCAAAUGAAAAACAACGUCGUUUCACCUGGGGGGUCUCAGCGCCAAAACGGUGCCAUUUUGUGUGACCCGCGCGUGACCCGACCCAUUACCAGGAGGAUCCACAUGUUUUGUGACUAGGGUACAAUUAGUACCCUAGUCCUUCCGCUUUGUUAAUUUUUUAAAUAAGGUUUUAUAUUUUUAAAUUUUACCCCAUAAUUUUCUGCGAUUUCAGUUAGGUCCCUAUUCGAACGACGCCAUUUUAAAGGAGAGGGGAAAUUUGCCCUUCCAGCCCCUCUAUGUUAUGCACGCGUUCAAAAGAAUCCUUUCCCUUUAUUUGUUUGAGGAUUUGCCCCCAAAAUUCUGUUUUAAAUUCAAAUUAGUCCUUUUAUUAUUUUUGCUAUUAAUUGAUUAAUUUUAACAAUAUCAUUAUUUUUACUAUUAUUAUUAUUAUUUUUAAAUGUUAUUACUAUUAUUGUAUUUAUUGUUAUUACUUAUCUCAUUAUUAUUAUAAUUAUUUAUUCAUUCAUACCAUUUUUAUUUCAAAUCUAGUUAUAUAUACAUACAUUUUCAUAAUAUAUGUGUAAACUUAUUAUUUUUUUAAAAAAAGAAAAACUUAUAUAUACAUACAUGCUCAUAUAUAUAUAUUGUAUAUUUUACAUACAUAUCUAUACAUAUAUAUCUAUAUACAUAUAUACCACCAUUAAUAUACCGGAACUCACAAUAGUAGUUUUCAAAAUAACCAAAUUUUCAUAUUUACCCACAAUGAACAUAUAUAGACAUAUAUAUAUUAAAAGAUUUUCCAGAUUUGUAUGCACAUGAGUUUAAAAUGCCAUACAGUUUUGGUUUUUAACAAAAUAGAUCUUACCCCACCACAACACACUAUAAUGGGAGUUAACCAGAACUCCCUUCUCCAACACAACGGGAUAUGGAUAAACCACUAUUGGUUCGCAAAUAAUAACUUCCAUUUGACUAUGGAUACACAACAAGUCCCCGUAGUUGUAAUCUGCCUUUAGUUGUGGGCUUACAACAAAAAGUCCUGUAGAUGAAACUUGCUUUUUGGCUAUAGUUUAUACAGCAUAAACCUGCAGCUAGAAUCUGCCUUUGGCAAUGGAUACACAGCAAUACCCGCAGAUGGAAUUUGCCUUUGGUUGUGGAUGCACACAAAACAGAUAAAUGCAGAUAAACUGCCAAACUUCUUCCGAUCACAUCGUCUUAUCCCAUGCAAUACAAUGCAGUAUAUUUAAUAGAGAUCAAGCAUGAUAGCAAUUAAUAUACUAAUACAUGACAAAUCAGUACCAAAAUCAUGUUUUUCAUGUAUUCGGAUUAAUAGUAACAUAGGUCAUGUCAUUCAUAUGAUCACAAGUAUAGAUACAAUAUUAACAUAUACUAUUCAUAAUUUAUGCAAAUAUACAUAUACAAAUAAACACCGCAUUAAUUCGGUCGAUCAUGGUUUCUAACAUAUUUCAUAUCCUCAGGGAUCCAAUUGCAUAAUUUCAAACACUAAAAAUAGUUCAAAACUUAUUUAGGUAUUCAUCUGAUAAAAACAUAGAAUUCUAGGUCAAAACGGUAAAAUCUUAGUUACAGCGUACACAUAGCUGUGUUAUCGGAUCAUGUGGGAAGCCUUGGGUAGUGUGGAUGGAAUACACAGUCGUGUGGCUAGGCCAUACGGGUCAUGCAAAAUUAAGUUUCGGGGGUGACACGGUUCUGUGGGAGGCCGUGUAGGGGGUCCUAGGCCAUGUGAAAUUUGAACAUCCUAGGGUUUCAAGGUGGCAUGGCCGCGUAUGGGGGACGAGUGGUCCACGCACCCUUAUGGUUGGCCAUGUGGCCCUAUUUUACGCUUAGAAUUCUCUAAUACACUUGUAAAAGAACACACACCUGUUACCGUGUCUCGAGCGACAUCCCUCUCUAUCAAAUCUGGUCUUGGAUACCUAAAUCGGGUCCUUUAAACAACAUUAAUUAAGAAUUAACAAAUGUUAUCAAGAUCUAUCAAGAUUGUCAUGAAUUUCAGAAAGAAAUCAUUAAAAAGAUUGAUAAUGGAUGAAAAAUUAGUUUCAAGAUAAUGAUAUUACGAAUCUUUGAAGUUCCAUUUAUAGAUAAGGCGCUUACCAAUCAUUAGCAAGAUUAGAGGUGAAAUUGAUAGCGUUACGCUAAACUGAUAGAAAGGUUAGGUUGAUCGAAGAUUGUUUUCAGUAUAUUAUUGAAUUAGGUGCUGACCGAAAUGCCCCAAAUCAUUCGUAAAGCCGAAGAACGAUUGUACGUACAGUUCGCAUCGCUACAGUGUAAGGAAUCUAACUAGUUUGGAUUCAUAAAAUAGCUAUAAUUCCAAUGAUUGGUUUGAACGCAUAAGUGGGUGUUUUGGGGAUGGUUUAAUGGUAAAUUGAUUGAAUUUAUACUGAAUUUCAGUUUAGGUUCGUUUAAGGAAUUAUUAAAGAAAAUUGAAAGAUUCGCUAGUGUGCUGCGAGAAAGCGAAAAAUAAGGUGUGGGUCCUAAACUCAUAAAUUUUUUUGAAAAUGUUAAAUAUCAAGUUAUAUUUGAUAAAUAAGGUGUGCUACCAAAUUGUUGAUUUUGUGAGUAGCCGAACCAGGUAUGUUCUGAGCCUUAAAAGAUUAACAUGUUGGCAAAAUUGCUAGUUUGAUAGUAUGAAUGUUUGGUUGAGUUUGUAAUUGCAUAUUUGAGUUAUGAGAUAUGAGAAUGUUUGACUGAAUGAUAUAAUGUGUUGAGAUUUUAAGCUUAUUUAUGAUUUAAACGCAUGAGAUAUUUGUUAUAUUGUGUACUAAAAUGGGUGGUAUUCAUGCAUAAUGAAAAUUCGUAAAGUAUGUGAAAUAGAACGAUAUUGAUUGAUACCAACGCAAUGGUAAUUUGAAUGAUUAGAACACAGUUUCCUUUUACUGAAAGUAUGUGAUUAUUGAGGACGUGUUGAGCAUAUCAAAUGAAUGUGAAAAGUAUUGAGAUAUGAUUGCGUAUAAGAUUGUGUGACAUUGCAUAUGCAUUAGGUUGGGAUUUUGCUGUUGACGGAGGAGUUCCGUGGAGUACCGCCGACAUUUUAAGUCCGAAUUAUUCGUAGUCAGUCCAUUGCACCUAGAGUACCGAGGGGAAUGACAAUUUAUCGCAUUUUUACUGGCAACUUCUCUACAUUUUUACUGGAAGAAUUUUCUGUAUAUUGUUAUUGGUAGUUUUAACCAAAAUGUUUUGGAGUUCGGAUGACGGGUUAUGGAGAACUCGUGGUGUGUAGCUGAUGGUAUGGAUAGGAUCCUUUUUGCAUUGUAUCAUGUGCACAACAUAUUCGAGUGUUAUUGAUUUAUACUACGUAUUAUAUUUUGUUGUAUUGAAUGGUAUCGUAAUUAAUGAUUGUUACUCAAAUGAAUGAUGACCUAUGCUCAUACACCGUUUGACAUCAAUUUGAUAAUGGCUAUGUAAUGAUAUGAAAUUCCUAUGAUGGUUUUGUUUUCUUCUCUUAAAGCUAACCUAUUUCACUCUAUUUGAUAUUUAUGUUUGUUUAAAUAAUUGUUCGACUCACUCUAAGCUUUUCAUAAGCUCACCCCCAAUAUAGCCUAGCCAUUUCAGUGGCUAAUAUAGCUUAGCCAUUUCGGUGGCUAAUGUAGCCUUCUCAAUCUAGCCAUCAUGUCUAGGCCAUGUUUGGGAAUAAUCCAUUUCAAUUUAGUUUCUAAACAUCAUGCAUCUAAAACAUAGACAAAUAAUUAUCCAACAACUAAAUUCAACAGUUCAAAAAACGUGUCCGAGCUAGAAGUACCAUGCCAUCAUCGAUGUUUAUAAACCUAAGCAUAACCAUAACUAUUAAACCUUAUUAACAAAAGCAAUAACCAACAAAAUGUCUAGAAAUUAACAUGUCAAUAACCAAGACUACCAUAUUUUCCUUUCCCCAAAACGUAAUUAAAUAAAGAACACCUACAAAAUAGCACAAAACUGGCUCGGAUCACCUCUUGAAAAUCACACCAUUCACGCUGGCACACAACUAAUCUGCAAAGGGUAAAGAAGGGAGUGGGUGAGAUUAACAAACUCAAUGAAUGACUAGAAUAACCACAUCGCACACAUAUCAUCAUGCAUCCUCAAGACAACCAUAUAUAAGCAAAAUUGCAAUAGUCCUAUAUCUAGUGUAGUAGAAUACCUAUCCAUGCAUUAUCUACUGGUUCAUCUACACAAUAUUUACAUACUCAUACAACAUAUAUCAUGUAACGCACAUAUUUAGUCAAGCGUAUAUCACAAUUCACACAAGUCACAUAUAACGAAAAGUUGGCAAUAUAGCACAUACUCCGUUAAGCAUAAAACAUGUUCCAUACAAUUACAUAUAAUAUGAUAGAUUGACACUUGAGUUAUGAAAUAUAUAAUGAGCUCUAUCAUCAUAGAUUGGAUACACGGAUCUCCGAUCACACCAAAUGACUCGUAGAGUCAGACAUGUUCCAAAAGUGAAGCAUAUAACUAACACUCUCCUUAUUUCGAGACCAUAAUUUUGAUGAGUGAUUUAUUUAUUUUAAUAUUUAUUUAAUAUCUAUGAGAUUAUAUUAAGGUCAUAUUAAAAUUCCGUUAAGAAAUUUUGUUGUUUAAGUAGUUAAUUAAGUAAAAAGGACUAAAUCGUGAAAGUUGUAAAAAUUUAUUUCUAUUAGUUAAAAGGGUCAAAUGGCUACGAAAUUUUAAAAUAAUAAACUAAGAUAGUAAUUAUAUCAUUUAAUGAGUUAGUGUAUGCACAUGGACAAGGUUUUAUUGAAAUUUUGUAUUAUUGUUAGGGGUAAAAUGGUAAAUUGGUAAAUAAACUUAAAAUAAACUAAGAAAAAUAUAUUAUCUUCCCCAUUUCUUUUUUGCUUUUUCUAAAUACACCAUUAAAGGGGGGAGAGCUUCGGUUUUGAAUUCUUCAUUUCAUGGUAUGAUUUUGUACCCCGUUUUCAUUCCUUUUUAUGUUUUUGAGUUCAUUUUAGCUCAAUCUAGCUAUCCCGGGGAUUAACUUACAAAAUUUUUAAAGGUUGAAGGACUUUCCAUGGAUGUAUUUGAAUAGGUUUUGAAGUUAUUUGAUAGAUUAUUCAUUUUGGUUGUGAAAUAAACAUGUUUUCUUAAGUGAUUUUUGGUGAAAUUGUAAUUAGGGAUUAAAUUGUUAAAAGUGUAAAUCUAUGGGUUUUAUUGUGAAAUGUUGGUAAUAAUGGGUUAUUUCAAGGUCCCUUGUAACAUUGGUUAAGUUGUAUUUAGACAAAAAUGAGUUAUAUUUAAGUUAUAAGCUUAAGGACUAAAUUGAGAAAAGUCAAAGUAUUAAGGGGUAUUUUGUAGAAAUAUGAACUAUGGAUUAAAUUGAAUACUAGAAGUACUUAAUUGAAUAAAAAUAUUUAUUUAUAUCAAGAUAAACCACAAUUGGACGUAAAUCAAGGAAAAGCUAAAGAUUCGGAUUAGUUCGACUCUACUACUACGACCCUAGUUAUCGAGGUAAGUUCGUAUAAACUAUAAUCAUUUUAAUAUUAGCUAAAUUGAUUAUAUGCUAUGUUUUUUAAUAUAAAUGAAUUUGAAUAUAAGUGUAUCAAUGCUAUGAUGAAUUGACGGAUAACGAGUCUCGUUUGAACCUUAAGAAUUCUUAGGUUACAAAUGACAUGUCAUUAGGGAUUUGAUGUUUCGAGUGCUACUCUUGAAUGUCCUACCGAUGAAUAAGGUCUUGCAUUUGUUGUAGAUUCUUCAUAGCUCAUGUGAGUAGCAUCGUGUAGCUUACAUUCUGACCCAUAACUCGUGUGAGCAGGCCAAUUUCACGGCUUGUAUGAGCAUUGAUGUAAGGGAAAGGUUAUGGUUAUGGUUAUAUGGAAAGACACACUAUGUGUGAGCAUUCUUGGGUAUCCGAUGUAAUUCUAUAUGGUCAACAGGUUAAAAAAAGGAAAUAAAAUGGUAAGUAUGCAAAUGGAAUGAAUCAUGAUCUUAUGAAAAGGUUGAUGAAUUAAAUGAUGUAUUUGUAUAUCGAAAUCUGGUUAUCUUAUGGUUGAAUUAAUUUGUAUCAUGGAUAAGUGCACUAACUUGUAAGUUUGAUGAUGUUGUAUAGGCUUAUACUAAGCUUAUGGCAUUGGUAAUGAUUUAUGCUUAAUCUAUGAAUUGUAUUAAUGAAAUGGUAAGUUAUGUUUAAGUUUAUACAAUCUUACUGAGCACUCAUUGCUUACGUAGUUAUUUUCCUUUGUUUUAUAGAUAAUCGGAAGCUCAAUUGAUUGGAAGCUCGUCGGAGACCUAUCACACUAUCCAACAACCAUUUCGAUAGUUUUUGAGUAUUUUGGCCAAGGAUAAAAAUGGCAUGUAUAGAAUCUUUUGUGAUGGUAGUUUGUGAUUGCAUUAAUAAUGAUUUGGUUUGUUUAUGCUUUGAAGUUUAUGUUUGGUUUGGUGAACCUUAACACCUCACUGAGUUAUGUCAUUUUGGUUACUUUUAAGUGCUUGUAUAUGAGGUCUUUUUGGUAUGUUUGUGAUGGCUUGUAAAUGGUCAUUGUGGUAUCAUGAGGUAUUGAACUAGGUUUUUAUGCUUGAAAUAUGACAAUGUUGACUUAUUUUGGUAAAUGAUGUUUUGGUAUAAUUGUGGUGCCUUUGAAUGACAUAUUCGUUAGAUGAAUUAAGGUGUUUGAAAUGGCAUGUUUAUAUGUGUUUUAACGAUGUUUAAAUCCCUUGAUUGAGUGUCCAAUUGGUAUGAAUGGUUAGGUAUGAAUUGGAUUUGAAAUGGUUUGAUUUUAGGUUAAUUUUGAAAAUCUUAGUGUUUCAAUUUAGUGAGUUACACGGCCUGGCACACGACUGUGUGUGGCAACUCAGAGAGUUACACGGCUUGCGACACGGCCGUGUAACCCUACUUAGUGAGUUACAUGGGUGAGGACACGAGAUGGGACACGGCCGUGUGUCCCUUUGUUCGAUUGUUACACGACCUGUCACACGACCGAUUGACCCUCAUGUUUUCCAAUUGUUUCAACUUUUUCUUAAAAAUUCUAGUUUGUUUCGAUUUAGUACCGAAUUACUUUUAAGCUAUUUUUAGUGCCUCAAAGGAUCGAUUUAGGGACAAAAUGUAUAUCAUUGAUUGGUUUAUAAUAAGUUUAAUUUAUUUAAUGUUAUGAUGAUAAAUGUUUUUUGAUUGAUUGGCAAUGCUCUGUAAUGCUAAUCUGGCGACGGAGACGAGUUAGGGGUGUUACACCAAUGGUUUCAAAAUCACAAGGCCAAAAUAUCCAAAAUCAAACACAUAACACUUACCGAUUAUUCGUGCACUAUCACUGCAUGUUAGCAUCUUUUAGAAAAUACCAUCACUUUCAUAUAACAUGUAUAUCAUGUAUACAUUUGCACUUUCCACAACCUAUACCAUAUCCACAUAUCACAUACUUGCGCUUCUCAACACCAUGCACAAUUUCAUAAUCAUAUAAGCACAAAUCCACAAAAAAAAUAUACAUACAAGAAAACUUACGCUCAGAAAUUAGAAUAGGGGUUUAGGCUACUACUAAAUUCUCCAAUAACACUUGACUCGUGUUUGCGAGCAGUGAUUCCGAACACUCACCCCUAUGGUUUCACCGAGAAGUCAAAAGCUCAACUAGCUCUUACUUUAACUUGUAGAAGGCUCUAAUGAAUCUGAGGCUUAACACACAAUAACCAUACAAAAUUCACAACCAGAUUGUAGCCAUGGACUCACUUAAACCAACUAAAACAUCAGCCUAUUCUAAGUUCUCAUGUAACCAAAAUUUAACAUAAAAAAACUUAGAAUGCUCAUAACUCGCUCUACACUUAACCUUUUUGCCUAAAAUGAAUUAUGUUCAUCUAAUUAGUCAUCUACGCCAAAUCCUUAACUCUUAAACCACUAAAAACUACCCAAUUCAUGGUAUCAUAACUUUUCGACAUCUUUUUGGCAAUUUUCACAAAAUUCAUUAAAACGUAAGAAAUCAUCAACGAAAUUUCAUGGUGGGUUUAAAAGCCUUCUAAUCAUGAUAAAAUGAGUUGAAAAAUUCUUCGAAACCACAUUUUUACUCAAAACUAAAAACUCCACCAUUAAUGUCCCAAAUUUUAGGUUUUAUUAAAAAUUUGAAGUUUAAUGGCUAAUACUUCAAUUUUAAGGACUAGAUAUCAUGAAAAACUCAUAAGAAUUCGAAACAUUUUCUUUGAUGGAUGAAAAUCAAACUUUUGACGCAAACCUAAUAAAACCCACGUUUGGAGAAGAUGAUGAAAUGUAUAGCGUUUUGGGUGUUUUUUAAGUGAUUUUAUGCGUGUUUAAGGCUUGGGUGUUGAGGGAAAUCAAAAGCUUAUAGUUUGGAAAUCAAAAUCGAGCGGUUUAGUGUUGGAAGAGCAAGGGACGACAACAAGGGAGAGGUGAAGAAGAAACUAACAUGAUUUUACUAUUGGGGCAGGAAAUAGGCUGAAAUUUUAAAAUUUAGGCUAAUUGCCUCAUAAAAACUCCCAGCUUUGCCCUUUUUUCAAAUCACUCCCUUGGCCCAAAUUGAAAGACUUUUAAAACUUAUUUUCAAAAAUUUAUUUAGCAGCUAAGAUGCCAUAGUUGAAUAUAAUUCUGAUUUACCACGCUAUGAAAUUUCGAGCACUCUAAGGCUAAAUUCCCUAAAACACCCCUAAAACUUCUAGGCCAUAUUUUGGGGUGUUAUAAUUUCAACAUAGGUUAGAUCAUGAACAUUUUCAAAAACAUUCAUAACAAGAUAUUUACUAUAACCGGGUUUCAUUAACUAAAUCAAACUAGCUACUAUUUCUCAUAAACCUACAUACAACAUAUAUAUAAACAUAAAAUCAUUCACGAUAAGUUGGCCAUUUAAGACUAUGAAACAUAAAAGUGGGCUCUAUCACCACACACCGAAUACUUGAAUCUCCAACAAAUUAACGACUCAAAGAGUCCAAAAUAUCCCAUAAGUGAAGCAUCAAGCUAUCACUCUCCAACACACCAACAUAUCCCAGUAAAUGGAGCUUAGCUCAUAUGCCCUUAUUUCUCUAAUCCAUCCUGGGCCUCAAUGCCCCAAAUCACAACACAAGGUGAGCUGUAACACCCUUUACCCGUAUUCAAUGCCGAAAUAGGGUAUUAUUCAUUACCAGAACACAUACACUUGUAAACGUAUUUAACCGAGUCAUAAAAUUUCAUCUAAAUUAAAACUUUCAAAAUUACUAACAUGCUUUUAUAACUCUUCACAAUAUAUCCUCAAAAUAUUUUAUUCAUAAUAAAUAGGGCCUAUGAGACCCGAUACACACUCAUGCAAUUCAAUGCUUGAUUUCCAUUUCAUUCAAUUUGCAAUUUCUCAUGCUCAUAAUUUAAAUCAAUUUUUUUCAAUCCAAUAUAUAUUUCAAUUAGGUACUUACCAUUUUAAUGCAUAACUUGUAAAUUUAAAGUGGCAUAAUUCAGCCACCAAUUGGCCAAGGCCUAAGCGUGUACACCACACAUGUUAGCCAAAUAAACAUAUAGCGUAAGCAUUAUAAGUAUGGCCGAGUUCAACAUUUAUUCAUGUAUCAAACUUACAAACGUGAGUUAAUCCAUAACCCAUUCAUGUCCUUACUUCAUACCAAAUCAUAUACCAAAUAUACCACACUCACAUACUGUGAAACUUUAUUUUCCCAUACGAGCUUAAACCAUGACCAAUAAUACACAAAUAUAAGCAUCACUUCUAUUUCAUCGUCUAUCGAUUAUAAUCGAGCAUAUGACUAAUUAUGCACAAAUCAUUCGUAUAUUUUAUUUUCCUCCUCCUCCUCUCCAUUCCACAUCCUUAAUGUGUAUAACACACUUAAACAACAUUAACUAUAAUUUCACUAUUCACUAACAUGUAUAUUCAAAGUUGCCUAUUCGAGUCAGAGUCACUAAAUUAUUUUUACCCAGAGCUACAGAACUCCAAAUUAAGAUCCAAAAAUUUUUCCCAAAACUAUAUACACAUAUCUUCUUGCCAUAAAAUUUUCAGAAUUUUUGGUUUAGCAAAAUAGUACAUUUUAUUCUUUAAAGUUCUCCUAUUUCACUGUUUGACCGUUCUGACCUCUCUUCACUAAAAAUUAAUUAUCUCACCGUACAGAAUUUGGAUAUUGUUUCCGUUUGUUUCUCUUGAAAAUAGAUUCACUGAUAAUUCUAAACAUAUAAACUUUAUCCCAUAAUUAUUUUUUUUACAAUUUUUUACAAUUUUCCAAAGUUAGAAUAGGGGAUUCCAAACUUGUUCUGACUCUGUCUAAUUAAACUUCAAAUAUCUCAAAAUAUAUAACUCUUUUGCUUACUCUGUUUCUUUUAUGUGAAAAUAGACUUAUUCAUCUUCAAUUUUGUAUAUUAUUAAACUUCUAAUUCAAUUUUCACCAUUUUUGGUGAUUUUUCAAAUUCACACAACUGUUUCUGUCAAAACUAUUUUGUUGCUAAAUGUACUCUUUCAUAAUUUCACUUUUUCAUUUUCAAUCACAAUUCAAUUCAAAAUUCACUUUUCCAUUUCUAAGUCAAUAUUCAAUUCAGCUCCACACCUAUAUUAAUUAUUCAAUUACACUUAGUCAAUUUCCCGUUGAACACUUGAAAUAUACAUGGAUACGUAGAGAAUUAGUACAUAAGUGCCACACUGAUAUGUAGCCGAAGCUACCACUGAUAUGUAGCCGUAGCUACCACUGAAAUGUAGCCGAAGCUACCACUGAAAUGUGCCCGAAGCUACCACUGAUAUUUAGCCGAAGCUACCACUGAAAUGUAGCCGAAGCUACCACUGAUAUGUAGCCGUAGCUACCACUGAUAUGUAGCCGAGGCUACCACUGAUCAAUAACACUGGAGAUGUCCACGGGCCUGCUCACACAAGCUGUCAAGUGUCUGCAACACAUGCUAGAUCACCCGGCACCCGGGACUGACUGUAACACUGUAACACUGAUCUCUAGUGACAUGUCAUUUGUAUCCACUUCUAUUCCUAAGUUCAACCGGGAAUUUACACUUAACACUUUAUUUUAAACACCUUAUCACUUAAAUAAUUCAUGAAUAAUUUUCCUUCCACAUUCAAUAUUAAUUCACAUAUAAAAUAUAAUAUAACUAUUAUAUACGUUUAACUUACUUUGGUGCAACAAUAUAAAAAUUUAACAAUUUAGUCUUUAAUCUUUUCUUUUCUCCGAUCAAGGUAAUUCAACUUCUUUCUUGAUCUAUAAUAACACAUUUGACUUAUUUAACACUCACAUUUAUCAAAACAGUCCUUGACUCAAAUUUUGGCAAAAUUACAAUUUUGCCCCUAAACUUUUGCAUAUUUACACUUUUGCCCCAAAACACGUAAAUUAAACUUCAACCCUUAUUCUUAUGUAUUAUGGCAUGCUGAACAUUUUUCCCUUCUAUGGCAACAUCAAAUUCCCACUCUAACACUUAGUUAUGAACUUUAGGUAUUUUUAUCGAUUAUAUCGUUUUACUCGUUUUUACUUAAAAUCACUUAGCAAAAGUUGUUUAACAUAAUUUCAAGCUUCAUAUUCUACCAUAAAACAUCAAAAUAAACACAUUUCACUUAUGGGUAUUUUUCCAAAUAUAAACCCUAGGUUAAAUUAUUGCUAGAAUAAGCUAAAUCAAGUUACCGGGACUUUAAAAACGUAAAAAACAUUAAAAACGGGGCUUGGAAUGACUUACUAUGGACCUUGGAAGCUUGAAACCCUAACUAUGGCUUCUCCCCUUGUAAAAUUCGGCCAUGGGGUUGAAGAUGAUGAUUUUUGGCCUAUUUUGCCUUUUUAAUACAUUUUAAUUACCAAAUUACCAAAAUGUCCCUAACUUAAAAAUUUUCUAUUUCACUUAUCUCAUGUCCAUUUUUGUCCAAAAUGUAACCAAUGGUCUAAUUACCAUUUAAGGACCUCCAAUUUAAAAUUUCAUAACAAUUGGACACUUCUAACAUGUAGAACUCAACUUUUGCACUUUUUACAAUUUAGUCCUUUUGGCUAAAUUGAGUGCCCAAACGUCGAAAUUUUUAAACAAAAUUUUUACGAAAUCAUUCUGUGAAAUCGUAGACCAUAAAAAUAUAAUAAAAAUAAAUUUUUUUCUCGUCAAAUUUGUGGUUCCGAAACCACUAUUCCGUCUAGGCCCAAAAUCGGGCUGUUAUAUGAGCACUCACAAAUCCUUUGUUAUUGAUCAAAAAAUAUGCAACAUUAUCACUAUCACAUAGCAUGCUUAUCAUACUCACAAUUGAUGUACUUACAAGUACAACCACAAUGCUCCAUGAGCCAUAAUAUCAUUAGAUCACAUAACACAUACUAAAAUAAUCCACAUAUUACUUAUUGUUUUGUUAUAUCAAUUAUUAGAACUCACUACAAGUAUUCAUCACAAUUAAAAAAAGAAACAAAUGGGAUAAGAAGGCUUACUUUCGAAACUUAUGAUAGGGGUUUAGGCUACUCCUAAGCUCUCGUUUAACACAAUGAAUCGUGCCUACAAGGAGUGAUUCCAAAACACUCAUCGUUCACGUUUUCACUUGAAAAUCGCAAGCUCAAACUAGUUUUUUCUCACCUUUCGCCUUACUCGAAGAGGGCCCCAACAGUUCCAAAGCUUCACAUAUAUAACCACACAACAUAUACAAGCAAUUAGCAACCAAAACACAUCUUAAUUCAAACAAAAAUGCAGGUCCAAAACUAGCUUUUCUAAAAACUGGAAUUUUCUACUAGAUUGGCUAAAACUCAAAUAGGGUUUGUCCUAUUUUGAUUACUAUAAAUUUUUUUUCUCAAUUUAGCCACUCUAAAUAAAAUAAUUGUGCGACUUAGUUACUAACUGCCUCUCGACGUACCAACACCAGAGGUGUGAAUAUUGCUACUAAGGAUAGGAAUUAAGGCAAUGUCCACAAGUAUAUGAGUCAGGUUGUAAUAUAGUUUAGAACGAAGUAUGGAAGUAUCUGAGGAUCGUACCCUAGGGAGGUGAGACUAAACUAAUACUAAUUUCUACGUUGAUGGGUCUAGUUAGUAAUUAAAUUAAAUUAUAUUACAAUAUAUCCUAAGGUGAUGAGAAAGUAUCUUUUAUAAAAAUAAGAUAAUUAAGAAUGGGAAUAGAGUACAGAUUCUAUCAAUUCUAAUGAUGGAAGACUAACUCGUUUCAGUGUUCAUAAUUAGCUUCUACUUAGGGUUCUACUCAAGGCCUCUUUGCCUUCCACUAACCUAAUGAGUCGGUAAAAACUACUUAUCUCUCGAUGCUACAGUCCAGACCGAAUGGGGGUAAGGUUUUAACGAAUAGAUAAUAUUGAUUUUGGGUUCAUUCCCACCUAUAUGACUUCUUAGAGUCAUCAAGCCUAGGGUUUUAAGUUCUUUCUAUCCCCGACCAGCUGAUUUGCUAAGAAUCUCUAAAUAGAAGUUAAUGAGUCCCACAUCCACUCGUUAAUCUUCCUUACUGGAUUAGUUCCCCAUGGAUUUAACACAUGCAAAGAAAUUGAUAGUAAAAUAUAAACGUUAUAAAAGAAAUCAGGGGUAGAGAUGAGAAAAAUCCUGAUAAUUCAAUAACAGAAGCACGAACUAAUGAAAAACUUAAUGAAAAACUAAACUGAAUACAAAGCAAAAUAAAAACUAUUCAUGAAGUGUUUAGAUUAGAGGUUAUCAUGCGCCGAGCGGCCCGGCUCGGCCCGAUGGCCCGUCUGAAAUAUGAGAGGGUUUUGGUAAAAAUAUAAGUCUGAAAUAUGAGUUUGGGCAAAAAACGAGGCCCGUUUAGAAAACGGGCCGAGCCUCGAGCAAAAAUAUAUAUAUAUUAAUAAUAAAUUUGUCAUUUUCCCUCCCUAUUUCCCAUUUCCCAUUUCCUUAAGCCCGUAAAAAUCCCUAAGCCCUUCCCUCCUUUUCUUAUUUUUAUUUUAAAAUUUUUUUAUUUUUAUAUUUCAAAUUUUAAAAUUUAAUUUUAAUUAUUAGUAUUGUUAAAUUUGUUGAUAUGAUAUUUCAUGGGCAAGGGUUCUACUCUAAAAUAAAAAUAAAAAUUCUUUUUUUUAACUCUUUAUAAUUUAUAAAAUUUUAAAAUAGUAAUGGUAAAAUUACACUUUGCCCCUCAAAUGAUAAAAAAACGUUAAUUUAAUCUUUUAAAAAUUAUAAAAAUAUAGGCUAUUAAAAUGGUAAAAUCUUUUUUUUCUAUCAUGAAAAAAAGGUCGGGCUGGGCUAGGCUCGGGCUUAGUAUUUUUUUCCUCGGGCCGGGCCAGGCCGGGCCUAGGAAGCGGGCUGAAAUUUUUUUUGGGCCCGAGUUUAGAUCCUUCUAUUUAUAGGCCUAGGGUUGGUCACCAAUCAUUGACCUAAUUCGGCUAACGUUUUGCAUUGAAGUUUGUUGUGCAAACACCCUUGGUUAAUUAAUUCCUCAUGUCAUGUCGGUGUCAUGACACCCUCUGGUCUAUGUCGCGACACUAAUGAUAGUUUAUUAGCUGGGGCUUGAUUUUAGGACUAUGUCGCGACACCCUCUUUUUACGUUGCAAAAGCUUACGAAAUUGAUGAACUAUAAGGAAAAGCUUGGUACUCCAAUUAAAGAACAAAUGCUUUUGCUUAUGAAUGUUUGCGUAAGUGAAGGACAAUGGGCUGGUUUAGAUCAUAACACUUAGACAGAGAUGGUGCUCAAAUAUCUAAUAUUAUUAUUUUUAUUAUAUUAUUAAAAAUUCCACGUGUCAACUAAGGGUAUUUUUUAACAGUGAUAAUGGUAUGGGCCCAUAAUGGUUACCGAAUUAUAAUUUAAGUACUGGAUUUGACAAAAAAAAAUGUAUCUAACUAAAAGAACUGUUAUAGUUUGAGGGUUGUGCAUUGAACUAAGCCUUUUUUAUAGUAGUGAUAUAAAUAUCCUUUUUUGUCUAAAAUGUCUGCGGUUGACUAACACCGUUGUUUGUUUGUUUUUUUUUUUUUAAAUAAUUAGAGAUUUUAGCUUAGUUGGUGUAAGCAACAAUUAUUUGUCCAUUUAAUAUUAUAUUUUGGCGUGAUUAAAACGGAUCAUUUGUUAAUAUGAACGCAAAUGUGUUAUUAUUAUAAUUUGUCCAUUUAAUGUUUUAUUUUGGCGUGAUUAAACGGGAUCAUAUUAUUGAAUAUAUCCUAAUAAGUAAUCUAAUCUAGAUACUGAAAAUCUAAUAAUCUUCGUUAAUUAUAUUAUGGUAAAUUCUGCAUCAAUAUUCACCUUCUUUUCUCUUGUUAAUUUUAAAUUUCUUGAAUGAUAGAAUUUUUAUUUGUGGAGUUCAUUAAUAAAUAUUUUUAUAUAAUUGAUGAAUAUUUUAUAUUUGAAAUUUAUUCAAUAUCAUUUAUUUAAUAUUUGUAAAUAUUAAUAUAUAUUAAAUUCUUUUUUAAAAUAUCGAUAAAUUUGAAAUGAUAUAUCGAAAUAGAUCGGUACCGUUAUGUACCAGUUCUAGUAGAAAAAUGGUGUGCCCACCGGUGUUGUAAGCUCCCCGACCCAACCUAGAUGCUAGACCGAAUCUAGAAGACAACAUCAGCCAUCGAGAUGGCUUACCAGGGUUAUCGAAGUUUAGAAAACAACCAUUUUAAAACCUUCGUUUAAUUUAGUAGAAAAAUUCGAUUACAAACCGUUUUAUUAUUCCUCAAAAUCUUAAUUUUAAUUUACUAACAAAAGAAAUUAUAUCUAUUGGUUUUAAGGAAAACUGGGGGUUCAUGCAUAGAAAUUAAUAAUUAUAGUAUAAUAUCUUAAAUUUUUAAAUAAAAUGUCAUGCAAAAUAAAAUCUCAAAUCUAAAGCCUCGGUUCCAUGCCAUAGUUCGAAAUAAAGUAGUACAAACUAUAAUAAUAGGAUAACCCAAAUAAUAAGUCCUAAUAAAUUGAAAUUUUGAAACCGAGUCGUGACACUCCGAUUGCCACGUCUGCGUUCCUAACCUGGUGGGUUAUCUUUAAGGAUGAAAAUUUAAUGGGAGAGUGAGCUAUAACGCUUAGUAUGAGUUCAAUCACAAGAAAAUUAGUGCAACACUUAGUAAGAUGCAUUAGAUAAUAUCGCAUAAAAUAUUCACAAUCAGACAACAAUUCAAAUUAUCGAAUUUUCAAAGCAACUACCAUUAAUAUAUCGGAACUCACAAUAGUAGUUUUCAGAAUAACCAAAAUUUCAUAUUUACCUACAAUGAACAUAUAUAGACACAUAUAGACAAUAAUAGAUUUUCCAGAUUUGUAUGCACAUGUGUUUAAAAUGCCAUAAAGUUUUGGUUUUUAACAAAAUAGAUCCUACCUCACCACUACACACUAUAAUGGGACUUAACCAGAACUCCCUUCUCCAACACAACGGGAUAUGGAUAAACCACUAUUGGUUCGCAGAUAAUAACUUCCAUUUGACUGUGGACACACAGAAAGUCCCCGUAGUUGGAAUCUGCCUUUAGUUGUGGGUUCACAGCAAAAAGUCCUGCAGAUGAAACAUACUUUUUGGCUAUAGUUUAUACAGCAUAAACCUGCAGCUAGAAUCUUCCUUUGGCUAUGGAUACACAGCAAUACCCGUAGAUGGAAUUUGCCUAUGGUUGUGGAUGUACACAAAAUAGAUGAAUGCAGAUAAACUGCCAAACUUCUUCCGAUCACAUCGUCUCAUCCCAAGCAAUGCAAUGCGGCAUGUUUAAUAUAGAUCAAGUAUGAUAGCAAUUAAUGAACUAAUACAUGACAAAUCAGUAGCAAAAUCAUGUUUUUCAUGUAUUCGGAUUAAUAGUAACAUAGGUCAUGUCGUUCAUACUAUCACAAGUAUAGAUACAAUAUUAACAUUUCCUAUUCGUAAUUUAUGCAAAUAUACAUAUACAAAUAAACACCGCAUUAAUUCGAUCAAUCAUGGUUUCUAACAUAUUUCAUAUCCUCAAGGACCCAAUUGCAUAAUUUCAAACACUAAAAAUAGUUCAGAACUUAAUCAGGGAUUCAUCUGAUCAAAACAUAGAAUUCUGGGUCAAAAUAGUAAAAUCUUAGUUACAGGGUACAGACGACUGUGUUAUCGAAUCAUGUCAGAAGCCUUGGGCCGUGUGGAUGGAAUGUACAGCCGUGUGGCUAGGCCGUGUGGGUCAUGCAAAAUUAAGCUUCAGGGGUGACACGGUUGUGUGGGAGGCCGUGUAGGGGGUCCUAGGCCAUGUGAAAGUCGAACAUCCUAAGGUUUAAAGGGGGCAUGGCCACGUAUGGGGGAUGUGUGGUCCACAGGCCCCAAUGGUUGGCCAUGUGGCUCUAUUUUAGGCUUGAUUUUCCCCUGAGUCACUUGUAAAAGAAAACACACCUGUCGUCGUGUCUCGAACGACAUCCCUCUCGAUCAAAUUUUGUCUUGGAUACCUAAAUCGGGUCCUUCAAACAACAUUAAUUAAGAAUUAACAAAUGUUAUCAAGAUCUAUCAAUAUUACUAUGAAUUUCAGCAAGAAAUCAUUAAAAAGAUUGAUAAUGGAUGAAAAAUCAGUUUCAAGAUGACGAUAUUACAAAUCUUUGAAGUUCCAUUUAUAGAUAAGGUGCUUACCAAUCCUUAACAAGAUUAGAGAUGAAAUUGAUGACGUUACGCUAAACUGAUAAAAAGGUUAGGUUGAUCGAAGAUUGUUUUCGGGUUCAAGAUGGAAAAUAAUAUUUCACAACAAUGGAGAAAAAUAUUCGCAAAUAGAAGAAUGGAGAAGAAAACGGGAGAAAUAAAUAGAGAGAAAAGAAAUAAAAUUUGGUUUGGUUUGAAAAAGGAACAAGAAUACAAAUGUAAUUAGGAAAAGAUAAAUACCCAGAUUUUUCAAAAUAUGAGGGAUUGUUUGGGUAAUUAACUCUUCUUGUCGAAAUUAAAUAGGGGAAAGGAAAUGGUGAGGUGUUUGGCAUGACUUGAACAUUGAAAAUAAGGGAUGGAAUACAAAGGCUUAACCAUUUGGCUGCUACUCACUCUUGAAAUGUAUUUGCUCCAUUUAAUAUAUAUUCUAGGGGAUUUUCAUUCUACUUUGCUGAAACAUUAAAACAAAAAGAUUGGAAAGAGGUGGAUUGACCCUAGAAUCUCUAAGGAGUAUACUAAGCUCUUAACCAUUAAGACUAAGACUCAUUUCUUAGUUAAUUAUUACUUCUAAACCUAUAUAUUUUGGGGUGUUACAAUUCUCCCCUACUUAAAGAAAUUUCAUCCUCGAAAUUUACCUAGUUUGAAUAAAUGAGGAUACUGCUGGCAGAACGUGACUUUUGGUUCCCAUGUAGCCUCCUCUGUCCUAUGGUUCCGUCACAAUACUUUCACAAGAGGAACUUAUUUCCUUUUCAAAACCUUUACGUCUCAAUGCAGAAUUUGAAUUGGUUCUUCCUCAAAGGACAAAUUCGGUCUCAAUUCGAUCUCCUUAAUUGGAAUAAUAUGGGUAGGAUUGGAUCGGUACCGUCUCAACAUAGAGACAUGGAAAACAUCAUGGAUUCAAUCCAGUUCGGGUGGUAAUUUUAAUUGAUAAGCAGCUGGGUCGAUUCUCUUAAGGAUUUGGUAGGGUUUUAUGAAUUUUGGACUUAACUUACCCUUUUGAUCGAACAUGAACAUCUUUCACCUUGGGGACACUUUCAGGAAGACUUGAUCGCCGACACUGUAUUCAAUGUCCUUCCUCUUUAAGUCAUAUGUAAUUGCGAUGUAUGAGUCUUCAUCCUACAUAGUUCGUGAGCCAUGUGUGGGGUGAAGUCAUAUUCUUUUCGAUUUAGUCCAGUUAUUUCCGAUUCUUUAUCCGUUGUGCAUGUGUCAUGUGUAUCAUAUAAUAUUGUAUAUGAUCAAUCAUAUAUUUAUAUUUAUAUUGUACUUGUGAUUGUGAUUGUAUUGUAUGUAAUAAGUUUGUGAAAUUAAGAAUUUAAAAAAUAUAUAUUUACCUAUUUCUAUUAUAAUAUUGUAUUUGAUAGAACAUAUAUUUAUACUUAUAUUGCACUCGUGAUUAUAUUGUAUUUAAUGCGUUUGUCAAAUUAACAAGGGGGCUCCUAAUUUUGCCAUUACUUUUUCAAGAUUUUAACUUUUUUUUAAGUAGUUACUGAUGUCUUUUUUUAUGACAUAAUACUUAGAACUAUUCAUAGUCUCUGUUCAAUUCAUAAGUAGGAGGAUAAUAUAUUUCAACACACUCGAACACACGUCCUUCUGUAUCGAUAACAAUGUCCAUGCCAAUCGAGUUAAGACUCAAUCAACAUAUUUUUAAUGUUAUAUUUUGGGGUGUUACAAUUCUCCCCUACUUAAAGAAAUUUCAUCCUCGAAAUUUACCUAGUUCGAAUAAAUGAGGAUACUGCUGGCAGAACGUGACUUUUGGUUCCCAUGUAGCCUCCUCUGUCCUAUGGUUCCGUCACAAUACUUUCACAAGAGGAAUUUAUUUCCUUUUCAAAACCUUUACGUCUCAAUGCAGAAUUUGAAUUGGUUCUUCCUCAAAGGACAAAUUCGGUCUCAAUUCGAUCUCCUUAAUUGGAAUAAUAUGGGUAGGAUUGGAUCGGUACCGUCUCAACUUAGAGACAUGGAAAACGUCAUGGAUUCGAUCCAGUUCGAGUGGUAGUUUUAAUUGAUAAGCAACUGGGUCGAUUCUCUUAAGGAUUUGGUAGGGUUUUAUGAAUUUUUGACUUAACUUACCCUUUUGAUCGAACAUGAACACCUUUCACCUUGGGGACACUUUCAGGAAGACUUAAUCACCGACACUGUAUUCAAUGUCCUUCCUCUUUAAGUCAUAUGUAAUUGCGAUGUAUGAGUCUUCAUCCUAUGUAGUUCGUGAGCCAUGUGUGGGGUGAAGUCAUAUUCUUUUCGAUUUAGUCCAGUUGUUUCCGAUUCUUUAUCCGUUGUGCAUGUGUCAUGUGUAUCAUAUAAUAUUGUAUUUGAUCAAACAUAUAUUUAUAUUUAUAUUGUACUUGUGAUUGUAUUGUAUGUAAUAAGUUUGUGAAAUUAAGAAUUUAAAAAAAUUUAUAUUUACCUAUUUCUAUUAUAAUAUUGUAUUUGAUAGAACAUAUAUUUAUACUUAUAUUGCACUCGUGAUUAUAUUGUAUUUAAUGCGUUUGUCAAAUUAACAAGGGGGCUCCCAAUUUUGCCAUUCACUUUUUCAAGAUUUUAACUUUUUUUAAAUAGUUACUGAUGUCUUUUUGUAUGACAUAAUACUUAGAACUAUUCAUAGUCUCUGUUCAAUUCAUAAGUAGGAGGAUAAUAUAUUUCAACACACUCGAACACACGUCCUCCUGUAUCGGUAACAAUGUCCAUGCCAAUCGAGUUAAGACUCAAUCAACAUAUUUUUAAUGUUAUAUUUUGGUAUAAUUAAAACGAGAUUGCUUAUUAAUAUUUAUGAAAAAUGGUUUUUUUCAUCAUUGAUGUUGCUUUUAUGAUUAAAAUUGAGAGUGAAUAUUGUUCAAAGAAAAAUAAAAAAAUCAAUGAGGUAGUCAUGAACUUGGGGGCCUGAAAAUGGAGUGGAGAUAGGUUGACUUGCCUCAAUAGCUAUCUGCUUGCGCAUGUAUCAUAUUAUUGAAUAUAUAUCUAAUCUAUGUGGUAGUGGUCAGGUUUUCAAAGUUUGGGACUUCUAGACAUGAAAUAUGUUGGGGAGAUUUUACUAUGGGUUGAGAAAAAAAUUAUAAUAGGACCAAAAUUUCUAACAUUAUAUUAAUAUUACAAUUUUUAACAGUUUUAAUUAAAAAUGUUGAUAUAAACCUUUUCUUUUUGAAGCGCACAACAAGUUGCAUGAGUUUGACCAUAAGCUAUAUAGCUUUCGGUUUGUAUGUAUUCUGAUUUUUGUUUAUCAUUUUGCAUCACAACAGGUCCAUACCGUCAGGACUGAUGCCGUACGGUACUUUGUACUGAUAGUUUAGCUUGGAGCCACAUAUCGAAAGUCCACUUUCAAUAUGGCAUCACACGAAGAUUUAAUUAAUUUUUUUACAACAGUUGAUGAAAUCAACCACUUAUUCUUUUAGCCAUUAAAUUUUAGUGCAUAAAUUGAUGAAGAGCCCGGCUCCCAUAUGGAACCUUGUCCAAUCAAACAGGAGUAUCAUAGUCUAUAAAUAGCAUAUUGAGCCGUAUGCUAAUUCACUUCAAAACAAAAAGAUCUUAAAAACAAACAAGACGUCAGCUAAGAUGAAUAUGGGCAAUGCUAAUGGGGAGGAUGCUAUUGAGGCACUCCAAGCACAAGCUCACAUUUGGAGACAUGCUUUCAACUUCGUAAGCUUCAUGUCUCUAAAAUGUGCACUUGAUUUAGGCAUCCUUGAUAUCAUUCAUGAUCAUGGCAAGCCCAUGACUAUUACCGAGCUGGUUGCUGCGCUACAGAUGCUCAACCCUACUAAAGCAUGUGACAUUUAUAGGCUCAUGCGCAUUCUAGUUCACUCGGACUUCUUUGCACGCCAAAAGCUAGACAAUGAUGCUCAAGAAGAAGGAUAUGUUCUUACCAACUCUUCUCGUAUUUUGCUCAAGAAUAAUCCCUUCUGCAUAACGCCUACUUUGAAGGCUACAAUGGAUCCUAUCAUAACAAAGCCUUGGAGUUUUCUAGGGACCUGGUUCCAAAAUGAUGAUCAUACUCCAUUUGCUACUGCAUAUGGGAAGACAUUGUGGGACUAUUUUACCCAUGAUCCUCAGCUAAAAGAUUUGAUAAAUGAUGGCUUAGCUAGUGAUUCUCAAUUGGUUACUAGUGUUCUAGUUGACAAGUGUAAAGGGGCAUUUGAGGGAUUGGACUCCCUUGUAGAUGUUGGGGGUGGCACAGGAACUACGGCCAAGGCCAUUGCUGAUACAUUUCCACUCAUGGAGUGCACUGUGUUUGAUCUUCCUAAUAUUGUUGCUGGCUUGCAAGGGAGUAAGAACUUGAAAUAUGUUGGAGGCAACAUGUUUGAGGCAUUUCCAACCGGAGACGCAAUUUUAUUAAAGGUUAAGCUUUACUAAAUUUAUUCGCAUUAUUUUUUUCUGGUAUUUUUACUUUUAUAAAUAAUGCACAACAAAUUCCAUUACACAUGAUAAUAUUCAAAGAUUUGAAGGCAAAUGUAAUCAUAGUUUGUGGGUUAGCUAAUAUUUUAUGAGCUAAUUAUGAAUGAUAAUUGAACAGAAGGUAUUGCACGAUUGGAAUGAUGAAGGAUGCUUGACAAUUUUGAAGCGAAGUAAAGAGGCCAUUUCAAGCCAAGACAAGGUAGGAAGAAAGUUGAUCAUAAUUGACAUGGUUGUGAGGGAGAAUGAGCAAGUGAAUGAUGAAGCCUCAAGCUUAACUAAAACACAACUCUUUUUCGACAUGUUGAUGUUGGUAUUGGUGGCUGGAAAAGAGAGGCGGGAAGAAGAAUGGGCUAAACUAUUUUUAGCAGCUGGUUUUAGUUCUUUCAAAAUUACUCCUAUUGUGGGUUUGACAUCUCUCAUUGAGGUUUACCCCUGAGAGCAUUUGGUUAUUGCAUUAUUAGUAUAAUAAUGUGGAGAAAUACAUAGUUGAAGUGGUAAAAUUGUUCUUUGUUGACAUCAUUUACUAGAGUUGUUUGCUGGGAUUUUAACUGUCCUAUAAUAAGAAAUGUUGUUGUGUUGUUGUCAUGGUCCUACUCUUAUUGACCUUUCUUCUUGUUAUAACUCCUAAGGUUUGCACUUGUAUCUUCAAUAAUAAUAAUUGUUGUUGUAAUCGUUGUCGUCAUCAUACUCUUCUAGAACUCUGUUAUUGUUACCGUCAUUGUUGUCCUACUGUUAUAAGUUAAUUUUAAAAUUCAUGGUUUAAAUUCUGUGCUGGAAUCAUUUUGAUGUUGUUAAGUAUUUAUACAAGCACUAAAAAACACAUAGACAAUACGAACACAAUGGGUUAAAAUAAAAUUGUUAUAAAAAUUCUAAAAUUCAAAAAAUAAUAGAAAAACAAAUUUAAAAAAAAUCUUUUUUCUAAAAGAAAUGCAUAAUGUUUAAAUAUGCUAAAACAUAUAAAUAUAUUCAAAUCUUGAAGACGACAUUAAUGAUAGAAAUAAUCAUAAACCUUAAAUAUAAACAGUAAAUACCAAAUAUAUAUAACAAUAUUCAACUUAAUACCGUAUCCAUUUAUUUUCACCGCAAAAAGCCCUCAGCAUCCAAACUAAGCAAAUUCAAAUUCAACUUUUUUAUUCAAACACUUUUUCUUAUCUAUUAAUUAAAUAAUCUCACUUUCUAUUAAUUAAUAAAUUAAGGUUGAUUUGGAUGGGUGAUGAGAUUAAUUCCGCAAUUCAAAUCCAAUUUAAAGUAAAUAAACAUGCAGUUAACUAACCAUAAUUCUUUUUUAGUAAAUAGAGUUUAAAUGAGAUUAAUGAUUUGUGUUAAUAUAAUUUUAAUUGAUUCUAAUAAAUAAUGAAUGCCUAACAUGGUAAAGAAAUAACAAUCCGAGUCAAUUAGUUUUGAAGUAAAUAAUUAAUUCUGGCCUAAAAUUUUCACAUUUUUUAUUUAUAUUAUAUUUAAAUUAUUCGUGAUUGAAUUAGUAUCACAAGUCAAUCAAAUAUUAAUUAAAAAAUUUAAUAACAAAAAAUAUAAAUUUUAUUACAAAUAUAUAUAUAUAUAUUUGUCUAUCAAUAAUUGUAUACUCUUUUUAAUUAAAUUCCUUAAAUUACAAUCCUAGAAAAAAAUCUUAGAUGAAAUCUUCAAUUGGAUUACCAGUUAAGGUUUAAAUAUUUAAAAUAAAUUUGAACGCAAGUUCAACAUUUGGUGUUAAUUUUAUAGAUACAAACUAAAAAUUGAACGCAAGUUCAACGUGAGUGUAAUAAAAUUUAAUAGGAUUUGAAUAAUUUGUGAACUUUCGGUUUCUGCUGAGGCAUGUAAAUUAAAUUGAAUAUACUGUGAUAUGAGGAAGGAUUUAAAAAAGAAAGAAAUACAAGAAAUAAUGAAAGAUUAAUGAAUGUGGUCUACUUCAAUGGGUAUGAAAUUGCCAAAGAUGAGUAGACCCUUACACAGCACUGGUACAAUUGGGUGUCCAAGGUCCAUAGUUCAAUCCAAAACCAGGAAAAUUUUCAUUAAAUGUUUUGGGUAAAAUUGAAUGUUUACAUCAUGAUUAUUUUGGGUUUUAUUUUUAUCAAAAUAAUAUAAAAAAUAAUUAUAAAAAUGAUAUAAGUUCUAGAUUAUUUACAAAAAUGGGUAUUUUUUAUAGUUCCAUUAUGUGCCAUUAAGUUGUCAGUGGAACCACCCAAAAUCUCACACAAUCAUAUGUCAAUCAUUACAAUAAGAAAAAAAUACCGCCUAACACAUUGACGGAAUCGAUUUGAUUUUUACGAAAAAAGGACCUCAGAGAGAAGUUUAUAAUGUGAGGGGGAAAGUUGCUAAGAAGUUCACCAAUUUCAUGGGUUAUGGAGAUUUUUAGGUUUUGGAUAAUCGGCAAUUCAAGCCUUUCAUAGUUUUGCAACAUAAAUAAGUAGGUUUUAUAUGUUUUUUCACCAGGAUGCAAAUGAUUUACUUGUCAUUUGCUUCAAAUUGAAUUAAAAUUACAAUUAUAUGUGCAUGGACUGAAGUAAAAUAAAUUACAAAAUCACCAAACCAUGAAAGACCUGAAUUGCCAAUUACCAAAAACCUAAAAACCUGCACACCCGACGUUGUUGGUGAACUUGGCAGCAACUUUCCCUCCUAGGCUUUUCUUUAUAAAAAUCAAACAGGUUUUUUCAGGCCACAUCACCAAAAAAAUUCAUACAAGUGCCACCUAAUGAUUGGCAUAUGAUUGGGUGAAAUUUAAUAUGGUGUCUUCUAACAGUUUGGCGGCACCCAGUGACACAAUAAAAACAUUCCAUUGUCGAAAAUAAUCUAGAUCCUAUAUCGUUUUCAUAAUUACUUUUUUUUAUAUUAUUUUGGUAAAAAGUCAGCUUAUUUUGUGGAUCUAAAUGAGCUAUUUUCAGCUUUGACAAAAAGCCAUAACGUUCCCCAUUUUGAACCACCUCCGACCACAACAAACUAGAAAACACAACUACCUUGCCAUGAACAUAAUCACCAAAACAUAAACAUGAUAUAUAUUCCUUUUGUUCCCAUCUUUAUAAGAAAUCAGAACCUUUAAUAUUGUAACACCUUAUACCCAGUCCGGUCGUCAGACCCGAGCUAUGGAAUGCCACAUUAACCACCUAAGUGACUCUCCAUUUAAACACAACUUAACCUCCAGCAAACCAUAAGUUAAAACAUAAAACAUGUUUAGAUUUAAUAAAUCACAAGCUCGUGAACUCACAUCGCUUGCAUCAUGGUACACAACAGCAAUAACAUGCGAACCUACAUCGCUUGUAAGAACUUAACUACUCUUUCCCUGAAGACAUAAUUAUUUAACGAAAGGAAUUAAGAACAUGUGAACUCUAAGUUUUGCAGAGCAAUAUACCUCGCAGAACACAGCAAUUCAACUGUCUAACGUUGGGGUUCGCACCCAUGCUUACCUCAUGCAUUCUAAGUCUUUUUUGGGGUAAAUUUCCUUAAACAGGAAAGGUCUUCACGUACCUCUAUGUGUUUUUAUUCUGCGAACACAUUUAGCAGGGUCUCUCCUAAUUCCGUGUAGCAAAAUUUAUUAAGGGUUUGCAAGUACUAGUUCGCCAAUUGUUAGGGUUUGCACUUUCCACAGUUCGAUAACCUUAUCACUUCGCAAAGACUGUGGCGAACUAUAUAUAGGUUACUCAAGUUGAUUUAUUACAUGUUUUGCUUAUGGCGAACACAAUUAAAGAUUAAAUACUUCAGCAUGUACUUGCAAAUUAAAAAAAAUAUUAGCAAAUCUUUGAACUAUAUUCGUAUGCUUAAAAAUUUAGGUGUGCAUAUAUAGUUUUAUUGGUUUCCAAGAGAUAUUGAAUACAAAUAUAAAACAAAACUAAUACUUAGAGCAAUUGGCGAAGUCUAUAGAUAGAAAGAAAUCACUAAACCCAAGUAGAAACCCACAUUUGCCUUUAUGUCCAGAGUUCGCUUAUAUCACAUUUCUAGUGUUUAUACUUUGCCUAGAUCACUCGCAAUCGCCGCUACACACUAUGCGAUCUAACUGUCUUUAAUGUUUAAAGAGGAAUGUGUGAACUCUUGUGAACUCAAUGAAUAUACAAGAAAACCACAUAGCAUGCACAAAAAACAUAAGUUAAACAAGUGUUUAAACAAAGUUACGGAUCUGUGAACCGGUUUCGCCAUAUUUACACGAAUCUUGGUUCACAGUUAUCUACUGUUAGUUAGCUUAAAACAGUAAAACAUAAUAUUUUGAAAAACACAAUCUUAUUCACAUGUUCUUUUUUGUUGGAUAAGUGGAUCUUCUUAUAACUCCUUACUUUGACUCAAAGAGUCUUAAUAUGUCCCAUAAGAGUAGCAUAAAGCUUAGCACUCUCCAAACACACCAACAUAUCCCAUUGAAUGGAGCUUAGCUUAACAUUCUCUUAUUUCUCCUACCCUAUCUCAAGGCCUCUCGCCCAAAACAUGAAACACAAAGAUGAGUACUCACAUUCCUAUGGCAUGUCAUUAUAUCCAACGGUUUCAGAAGAUUAUAGUGCCAAUACAUUCAUUUAAACAUAGAGCUCAGAAAUCAAGAAGAGCUCAUAGAACACUAUUCAUAAUUAGCUCGCAUAUUACUGUUCACAAAAACACAUAUUUAAACUAAAUCACAAAAUAGAGUUUUAGCAAAGACUUACUCUCAAAACUUAGGUUAAAGCCCUAAGCUCCUAAUUAACUCUAUGGUUUGCACAUACAAGUGGUGACGCUUGAACACUCACCAAUUUGCUGAAAGCUUUUAAACAAGAUUCGUUUUUUCCCUUGUCUUUGCUUUUAGAUAGUUCUAUCAGGUUCGUAAUUCCACAACAUAGAUAAGUUACAGGAAAAACACAUUAAGACUUAUACAUAAACACAGGCGAACCUAGGUUCGCACAUGCUAGUCUUUUGGGGAACCUAGUUUCCUUUGCUAUGAGUGUAACACCCCUAACCCGUAUUCGUCGUGCAAUUAGGGUUACGAAGCAUAAUAAAUAUCGAAAUAUCAUACUUAACAAAAUGAACCAAAUAUCAUAGCUGUAUAUAUAUAUGCAUCAUGUGUAUGUAACUUUUUAAAAGUUGAGUGACUGAAAUGAAACCUAGGUGAUUGCUUUGUCAGCUACCUCAAAGUUGGGUGACUGUUGGUAUAAUUUACCCUAAAUAUUAUGACUAAACAUUUAAAUUCAUAAAAGGAAUUUUAACUGAAGUUUAUUAGUAGUGUGAAUACCAUCUAUCUGAUUUAUGGCAAGAUAUUUGUAUAGUAUAAUGAGAACAAAUAGAUAUUUACAAAUACUUUGAAUUUCAGUUAAAUCUAAGAUCGUUUUACUUUUUUUUUUUUUUACACGGUCAACAAAAUAAAGUAUUUCUUAUCUUUUAAAAGAUUAUUCAAUUAGUUUAAAGUUUAUGAUAAAAAAAAUCACAGCAAACAGAAAAUAGAUAGAUUCAUAUUUAAUGAAACCAAUAAAAAGAUUUUAUUUCUUUUACUUCAAGUCAUGAACAAAUAAUUAUUCUACAUGGGUUUGUAAAGAAAAAGGACCUUUUUUUCUACUUUAUCUUGAUUUUCAUUGUAUAAAUAUUUUUUUAACAAUUUCAUUAUAUAUUUUAGUCAUAUCUGUUUAUUUGGACACAGAGCUCCCAUAAUUUAUGCGCUUCAGCACACUUGAACGCAUGUUUUCCAACAAUACUCAUACCAAUCGAAUUAAAAUUCAAUCAACUUUAUUACCCUUUUAAGAUCAAAGAUGAAACUAAUAUUUUAUUGAUAACUCAAUAACUUUUUAUUUCUAGAAAUUUAUCUUUAAAUAUCACGCAUAAAGCAACAAAUGCACACCCUUAUUCAAGAUAUCUUUCUUUGUAUAUCAUGCAUAAAAGCAAUAAACCCAAAAGCUGUUAGACCUAACAAUAGGUUAAGGUUUUCACUCUCUACAAUGGUUAAAAUAAUCAACAAAUACAAUUUUGAAUUAAAAAACAGAUCCAUUAUGAUUUUUUAGUUUAUAUAAUUUUGCAUCAAAUACACACAUUAAGUGUGUAAACCAACGAAAAUGCAAUUAUACUAGUUAGAAUAGUAAUCACAUACUUUUUUCAAAAUUUUAAUUAUUUUUAUCGGAUUUGAUUGAUUAAGUGUAAUUAAAUCUUAAAAAUAAAAAAUAAAAAAUAUUAUUAUCUUGCUUAAUUUCUCUAAUUUUCACUCUUUCAUAAGAAUUGAAGGAAAGAAUCUUGUCAGAGAGUUUUACUAUUACAAAUAUAGUACAUUCGUAAGUAUAAUGCAAGUAUAAAUAUAUAUUAUAAUGUAGAAUCAAAUUAGUAUAAAACGUACAACAUACGAAGAAUCAGACAAAACUCACAUGUAUAUAGCAUACACAUAGAGUAAGACGAAAAUCCACAAAUCAUAAUUAUACAUGAUAAAACUCAAAUUUAGAUAUUUAAUUGAAACAAAUAAUAUGUUUUAAUUACACUCGAUUCAAUAUAAAUUACUAAUUACAAUGAUUAUAAAUACUAAAUAUAUUUAUUUACAAAUAAUUAUAUUUAAAUCUAAUUACUAGAUAAAGUGAUAGCAACGUAAUUUCAUUGCGGUGGAAGAUUGAGCCGGACAUCAAAUCUACUUAAACAAAUUUGAAUUAACAUCGAUCUAUAGUUGUCGGCUUUGUGGAAAACAUGAGAAGGUGUAUCGAGAGAUGAAGACCAACUGUGCGCGUUUUGUCGCAUUACAACUUCGCUUUGGAAAAGGCUAAUCAAUACUUGCAAGAACUUUCCCUAGUAAUUCAUAAUAUCCCAACAAGACGUAAUGAGUUUUGACGAUUAUCGAAAAGUAAACAUUUCAGAUUCAUUUGUCAAGCUAUAUGCCAAAGAAAAACUCGUGUCCAAAGUUAUCGAAACAUGGUCAUCUAUACGUUGUUAAAGUCAAAUUUUAUGUGCCGAGGACAAAGUUGAAAGAAAAAGGGAAGUGGGAAUUUGAAACCAAAACUUAUAUUAGACAUAAUCAUUCUUUGCUGUUGUGAUGUAGGAGUUUUUCUUUAUCAGGUGUAUAUAUUUUGUGUGAGUUUUAUAUGGACUUUUUUAAAUUAAUUCAAUUUUUAUUUUAUUUUUUAUCCGUAUUGAUUGAUCUAUAUAUUAUAAUUGAUUGUACAUAUAUUUUUAUAUAUCUUAUAUUCGUAAUUAUACUAUAUUUAUAUUAAUAAAACUUGGGAAGAAAUUCAAAAAAAUUAUCCAUAUCAUCUUAAUUUCACAAAUACAAAAAAGAAAACAUUGAAAUCAAGACCUAAUGUAAUGUCGUUGAAAUUACGUUCUGACUAGAAAAACAAAGAACGCAAGUUUGACUUUCCAAGUUUGUUUUUAAGUCCAGUAGCGUCCCAAAUGCUCUAGGUUCGUUGUCAUCGAUCUGCUACGAAGUGGUUUUUCUUUUUCCUGUGUGCUAGCUUGGCUUGCUGCAUGCCAGUGUUGGACGUCUUAAUGAUUAAGAAACACCAGAAACAGGGCGGAGCAAGUGGUGGGUUUUGUGAUUAGCUUAUUCUGGCCGACAAUGAAAGCUACUAAAAUUCUACCAUCGAGAAGUCCACUGCCAAUCGCAUGCAUGCAUUCGAUCAAGUAUAUGUCCUUCUUCAGUGAAAAUCUCCUAACAAGUCGAAGGUAACAUGGGACCCUAAGAAAAAUCACCAAAUUUCACAAACAAAUCAAAAUCACCAAACUUCACAAACAAAUCUUCAUCGCCCCUCUUCCACAUCCAUGCCCUGUUUUCAUGUUCACAUAAUAGUACUCCAUGCAUUCCACUUUGCAUUGCUUUCUUACAUCGUUUUCACAUGGCCUUUUUUUCCCCGGAAAGAAAAAAAAAGUUAUUCUGCACCCACUAGCCUCUUUGAAUCCCCUUAUGUUUCGGAGAAUGUCGGGGCAAAGGAUGGAAAUCUUGUGUAAAAGAUAUAUAUCUUUGUCAUCCAUUUAUGUCUGUUCAAAUGUCUUCUUUUCGGCUGAAAGGCAAUUGUAGAUGCCUGUCUUGAUCUUGCCGUCAAACAAGCUUAGAACCUUAGGCAAAGCAGCUGAUUUGAGCCUCCUUUUUGGGUUCAUGCUAGUCUUUAAUUAUUUUAUGUAAUUGUUAUGUUUGGGGCCUGUAAGAUUUAAGGUAUAAAGGGAAAAAAAGAAAAAGGUUUUUAAGUUUCAGAAUUUUAGUAGUCAUUUUAAAGUGAAAUUGGUGUCCCCAAAUGUUUUCCUUGUGAUAUCAAUUUGUCCCUUGAUUUUUGAUUGUACUGGCAUCCAAAAUGAAGCAAUGUAUUCUAAACAGAAUAAACGGCGUAUUAAUUUGUUGUUAAACUAAAAAAACCAGCAAGACAAAUCUGGAUUUUGCAAAUCUUAUUACACAAUAAAGACCCCCGACAGAAGGGAAAUUAAGUCAAAUCUGAACAACCACGUAAAAUGAUGAAAGUUAAAUGCAUUGAGUAAUAAAUAAAUAAAUUUAUGUAAGGAAAAUGAAAGUACCGUAGGGCAAGAAAAUGAAGAUGGUCGUGUGGUAAUGAUAAGUAAGAGAAUGGAGUGGGGAGAAAUGGUCAAAGAAAGUGGCGCCAUGGUAUGAAGAGAUUGUGGGUUUUCAUUCACAGAUUGGUUGGCUCUUAGUUUUUCUCAUUUGCCAGCCAACUUGGAAACAAAUAAAAUAAAACACGACUUUACCCUCAUGGCAUUGGCCACACUGGUCUCCCCACUUGGUAAUGAAAAUAUGAAAUUCCCAAGACAUUCCCAUUACCACAUUCCAUUUCAUGUUUGAUUAUUAUUAUUUCCUUUAAUUUGAUUAAAAAGUUAGUGCACGAAAUAGGAGGCGAACUUGUUGGAGGCCAAUAUAUAUAAUUUGCUUAACAAUAUCAAUUUUAAGCUUACCCAUAAUUCUUAAGCAGCUAAACCACGUCAAUUAAAGUAAGACAUCCGCUAUAAGAUUCAUACCAAAUGUCACAUGUUAAAAUAAUAUAAUAUUUAUAUUCACUUUUUUAACUUAUUCAUGAUUUUCAUUGCAAUGUAUGCAUCAAAUACAAAUUUAAACAAUUGUAUUACCAUUUUUACGGAUUCCUCCAUUAAUACAAAACACAUUCCAUUUUCAUUUCCAUUUCUGUUUGUUUUUUUAAGUCAGAAGAAGAAUUAUUAUGAGUUGAAUCCCCCAACUACUGUAGUGAUAGUCUCAUUAACUAUUUUCUUCAAGAAAAAGAGAAAGAAAGAAUCAAUUUUUUCAAUAAUAAAUUAACACAACAAACAAAGACACCAAGAAAGUUUUGAAAGAUAAUAUAAUAUCAUACAUUUUAACGAUAAAUUUAGUUUUAUAUUUUUUUGUCAAUUUGAUUUUUUUUAGUUAAAUUUUAUUUUUCAUCAUUUUAAAAAUAAUCAAAUUUAAUUACCAAGCUUUAAAAGAGAGUUGAAUUGUUAUUUUCUUUAACGAAAAUACUAAUAAAAAAUGUUAAAUUUUUAAACAUGACAGUCUAUAUAACAAAUCGUGUGUAUUUCAUAUUUUUUUACUAUUGGUAAUAAGACAAAUAAUGUCAUGUCAUGGUAUCAUGAAAUACACGUAAACUAUUUAAAAAUUAAUAUUUUAGUCAACAUUUUGAUUAAGAAAAUGAUUAGAUUUUUUUAAAGGUUAAUUGUCAACUUUAACUUAAAAAAUAAAAAAAAAUUAAUAAAAGUAAAAAUAUUAAAAUUUAAAUUUAUAUUGAAAAAUAAUAUAAAAACAUAUAGAAAUGUCUAUGACACAAUUUAUCCUAAUUUUAAUUUGGAAGAAAGAACAUUGUAAAAAUAAAAAUAAAAAUAUAUUUAAGUCCCAAACAAUUAGAAAAUAUAAUUAAAUUAUUGCAGAAUACAAAGGGAACAAAAAAUAAAAAAUAAUCAGAAUUAAAAACCCACGUGAUAUAAUUAUGUAAUGUAAAAACUCGAAAUUGAAUAGUUGAGCUACAAAUCCCUGAUGGAGUAAAUUAAGAUGAUGUACCUCCAAACUCGGGUACAUAAAGAAACAAAGAGAGAGAUAAGGCAGGUAAUUAUUUAAUUUGUAUCCAUCUCCCCUAAUUAAUAAUUUCGUCAACUAUUAGGUGUUUGAUAAAAAGUACACCAUAUAUCUGCUGUGUACCACCCACACUACCCCCUCUAACAAUAUCUGUAUACGGCUACAAAAUCUAUGUAGAUUUUUGUAGUUGAUAUUAAUCACCCCUCUCUCAAAUUUUCACUAUCUUACAAAUACUAAAUUCGGAUCAUAUUUACCAUCAAGUAUGGGGCAUGUUAUGGUGUUUGGAUAAAUAUUUUUUAAUUUCAGUCAUCUUGAAUAAUUUUUUUACGUUAAAAUACACAACUUGUCUCACACCAAACUUAAUGAGACGAGAAUUAGACCGCUCUAGAAGAUUGGUGUUCUACCAAAAAAAUAAAUAAAUAUUCAUUUGGCUGAGUUUUUAACUUCUAAAAAAAAAAAAUAGAAAUAUGAAUUUAUCUGUCCUCCUUUUAAUCCUUUUUUGUUUUGUUAGUAUUAUAUUUGCUAAUUAAGUUGUGGGAAGAGAGUCAUAGGUUGGAAUUAGAGUUAACCUUCAAGAAUUAUUGCUAUCUUUAUUUGUUCUAUGAUUUAAGUAUAUUCCUAUUCGGGUUGGGAGUAAUAUUUAAAUUGAAAAAAAUUCAAAUUUUUAAAGAAAAGUUUAUGUUAAAGAAAAAAAAAUUAUAAUAAAUUGUUAUUAAAGAAUUUUAUUUAAGAUAAUUAUUCAUAUAUUAAAAAUCUCUUUUAAAAUAAUUGAUAAAUGUUGGGUGCAGUACUAAAACACAUUAUAAUCACAAUAAAAUACUAGAGUUAAAAAUUUGAAAAUAAUAUCACUAAGGAAGAUAGCUAUAAACCUCGAAUAUAAAUAAUAAAUAUGAUUUAAAAUUUUAAAUCAUAUAGUAAAGUUGUGAAAUUUAUGAUUUUUAAAAUAUUAUUUUGAUAAUGUCUAACAUUUCUUCUUAUAUAUUUUAGGGGUUUACAAGAUAAAUUGAAUGCGUGGAAAUUAACGGUCGAGGUCACUAACAAUUUAUUUUGAUUUGAAAAAUAUUUUUUCGAAUUUUAAAUUGAUUAGAUGGAUUAUUUAAGUUAUUCUAAAUUUUUAAUUGAUUCGAGGAAGUAAUUUUAUUUUUUGAAUUUAAGUUAAGUUGAAUUUUACAAUUUUAAUAACUUAAAUAAUAAAUUGAUGUAAAUAUUCCUUGAGUCCUUAUUAAUUUUGAAAAUGAGCAAACCUCUCUUUAAAAAAUUUAAAAAUAAUAAUAAUAAAAUAUCCAAAUUUUGUGAAAAAAAUAUAUAAAUAUACAAAAUUCUUAACAAAUCUUAAAAUUUACAUAAAAUUAAUUUUAAAAAAUUGAAGUUGAUAAUUAAGGCCUUAAACAAGUACAUUAUCAAAUUAAGUUUAUCAUAUUAAAUUAUAUUGUUUUUUUUAUCUUAUUUUGCUUUGAAAGACUUCACACACACACAUACAUAUAUAUACUUUCAAAUUUACGUGCUCUAGCUAGGAAUUUAGUCAUACUACCAACAAUACUUCAAUUUAACCUGUUUAUUUUUUAAAUUUUACUUGAAUUUUGAUUCACUCGAUUUAAUUUGAAAAAAAAUUCAAAUCAAUUUAAGAUGUUAAAAUAAAAAAUCAUCGACUCAUCAAAUUUAUUAAGUCAGAAUUUUCACUUAAUUCAACUCGAUUUAACCGAAUAUUCACCCUUUUGGAAGUAGAGAAAAUGAUGAGUAUUUAUUUUUAAAUCAUUUUAUAUAUCAUUAUUUGAUCGUAGGUAAUUAUCGUCGAUAGCAGUGACUAAUCCCCUUAUCAUAGGUGCUCUAUUAAGAGGUAAACAACAAGUCAUUUUUAUAUCAUUAUUUAAUUAAUUAAAAAUAUAUAAAAUUUCACUAUCAGUGAGUUUAAUAUAAAUCUUAUUAUUAAUGCCAAAAUUCUUUUCAAGGAAAAUUCAAUUAAAAACGGGCAAAUUAUAAUUGAAAAAAGUUGAGUAUAAUGGUAAAAUAUAUUAUAAAUUUAAAAAUAGAAUACAAGUUUAAACUUUAAAAAUAAUAUUAUUAAGACAACCUCAAACAACUUAAAAUAGAGAUGAAAAAAAAGUAAUUAUAAUAACAAAACAAGUUAUGGAAAUAUUAAACAGAAUAUAAUAAAUAAAUUUUUUAAUAUACUUAUCGGUUUUGUAAUCUAAAUUUAAUGACAAAUAAAUAAAUUGAGAAUGUUAAUAGCUUAUUUUGAGUCUUAUUCAACGUAAAUGAUAUGAAUUUCAAAAAAGAAUAUAAAUAUAAUUUAGAUUUUCGGGUUGAAGAGAGAGAAUAUAUAUAUAUAUAUAUAUAUAUAUAUAUAUAUAUUUAUUUAUUGGCUAUUCUUUCCUUCUAAUCAAGGUUGACGUAAAAGAAAAGAUUGAAUACCCAAAAUCAGUAACUAAAAAGGGAAUGAGCUAAAAUAUUGUCACAUAUAUUAUUUAUUCAUUCAUUUACUUCUUUCUAUUAUAACUUAAUAUAGUAUCAAUUUUGAGUCUUGAUAUUUAGGGUCGAGUUUUAUCAUGUAUGAGUCUUCAUCUCACGAAGUUCGUGUGCCAUGUGUGGGGUGAAGUCAUAUUCUUUUCGAUUUAGUCCAAUUGUUUCUGAUUCUUUAUCCGUUAUGCGUGUCUCAUGUGUGUCAUAUAAUAUUGUUUUUGAUCGAGCAUAUAUUUAUAUUUAUAUUUUACUUGUGAUAUUGUAUUUAAUAAGUUUGUGAGAUUAACAAUUUAAAAAAAAAAUUUAUUUACCCAUUUUCUAACAUCAUAUAUAACACAUCAAUCACCAUCGAAAUCUUAAAUAACUACUCUUUGCUCUUGAUAUGGCUUGGGGCUCCCAAUUUUGCCAUUCGCUUUUUCUAAGAUUUUAACUUUUUUUUAAAUAAUUAUUGAUGUCUUUUUUUUGAUACAACGUUUAGAACUAUUUAUAAUCUCUCUUCAAUUCAUAAGUAGGAAGAUAAUGCACUUCAGCGUACUCGAACCCACGUCCUCCUUUAUUGGCAACAAUAUCCAUGCCAAUGAGUCAAUUGACAUAUUUUUAAUAUUAUAUUUUAGUGUAAUUAAAACGAGAUUGCUUAUUAGUAUUCAUGAAAAGGGGUUUUUUUUUUCAAUGUUUCUUUUAUGAUUAAAAUUGUGAGAGAAUAUUGUUUAAAGAGAAAUAAAAAAAAUCAAUGAGGUAGUCAUGAACUUGAGGAGCGAAAAUGGCGUGGAGAUAGGUUGGCUUGCCUCAAUAGCUAUCUGCUUGCGCAUGUAUCAUAUUAUUGAAUAUAUAUCUAAUCUAUAUGGUGGCGGUAAGGUUUUCAAAGUUUGGGACUUCUAGACAUGAAAUAUGUUGGGAAGGUUUUACUAUGGGUUGAGAAAAAAAUUAUAUUAGGACCAAAAUUUCUAACAUUAUAUUAAUAUUACAAUUUUUAACAGUUUUUAAUUAAAAAUGUUGAUAUAAACCUUUUCUUUUUGAAGCGCACAAGUUGCAUGAGUUUGACCAUAAGCUAUAUAGCUUUCGGUUUGUAUGUAUUCUGAUUUUUGUUUAUCAUUUUGCAUCACAGCAGAUCCAUGCCGUCAGGACUGGUGCCGUAGUGUCCUUUGUACUGAUAGUUUAGCUUGGAGCCACAUAUCGACAGUCCACUUUCCAUAUGGCAUCACAUGGAGAUUUAAUUAAUUUUUUGCAGCAGUUGAUGAAAUCAACCACUUAUUCUUUUAGUCAUUAAAUUUUAGUGCAUAAAUUGAUGAAGAGCCCGGCUCCCAUAUGGCACCUUGUCCAAUCAAACAGGCGUAUCAUAGCCUAUAAAUAGCAUAUUGAGCCGUAUGCUAAUUCACUUCAAAACAAAAAGAUCUUAAAAACAAACAAGACGUCAGCUAAGAUGAAUAUGGGCAAUGCUAAUGGGGAGGAUGCUAUUGAGGCACUCCAAUCACAAGCUCACAUUUGGAGACAUGCUUUCAACUUCGUAAGCUUCAUGUCUCUAAAAUGUGCACUUGAUUUAGGCAUCCUUGAUAUCAUUCAUGAUCAUGGCAAGCCCAUGACUAUUACCCAGCUGGUUGCUGCGCUACAGAUUCUCAACCCUACUAAAGCAUGCGACAUUUAUAGGCUCAUGCGCAUUCUAGUUCACUCGGACUUCUUUGCACGCCAAAAGCUAGACAAUGAUGCUCAAGAAGAAGGAUAUGUUCUUACCAACUCUUCUCGUAUUUUGCUCAAGAAUAAUCCCUUCUGCAUAACGCCUACUUUGAAGGCUACAAUGGAUCCUAUUAUAACAAAGCCUUGGAGUUUUCUAGGGACCUGGUUCCAAAAUGAUGAUCAUACUCCAUUUGCUACUGCAUAUGGGAAGACAUUGUGGGACUAUUUUACCCAUGAUCCUCAGCUAAAAGAUUUGAUAAAUGAUGGCUUAGCUAGUGAUUCUCAAUUGGUUACUAGUGUUCUAGUUGACAAGUGUAAAGGGGCAUUUGAGGGAUUGGACUCCCUUGUAGAUGUUGGGGGUGGCACGGGAACUACGGCCAAGGCCAUUGCUGAUACAUUUCCACUCAUGGAGUGCACUGUGUUUGAUCUUCCUAAUAUUGUUGCUGGCUUGCAAGGGAGUAAGAACUUGAAAUAUGUUGGAGGCAACAUGUUUGAGGCAUUUCCAACAGGAGACGCAAUUUUAUUAAAGGUUAAGCUUUACUAAAUUUAUUCGCAUUAUUUUUUUCGGGUAUUUUUACUUUUAUAAAUAAUGCACAACAAAUUCCAUUACACAUGAUAAUAUUCAAAGAUUUGAAGGCAAAUGUAAUCAUAGUUUGUGGGUUAGCUAAUAUUUUAUGUUUUUUGAGCUAAUUAUGAAUGAUAAUUGAACAGAAGGUAUUGCACGAUUGGAAUGAUGAAGGAUGCUUGACAAUUUUGAAGCGAAGUAAAGAGGCCAUUUCAAGCCAAGACAAGGUAGGAAGAAAGUUGAUCAUAAUUGACAUGGUUGUGAGGGAGAAUGAGCAAGUGAAUGAUGAAGCCUCAAGCUUAACUAAAACACAACUCUUUUUCGACAUGUUGAUGUUGGUAUUGGUGGCUGGAAAAGAGAGGCGGGAAGAAGAAUGGGCUAAACUAUUUUUAGCAGCUGGUUUUAGUUCUUUCAAAAUUACUCCUAUUGUGGGUUUGACAUCUCUCAUUGAGGUUUACCCCUGAGAGCAUUUGGUUAUUGCAUUAUU
rnacentral:lncRNA from 1 species